rnacentral:lncRNA from 1 species
CGCGACUGCCGUCGCGGCCGUGGCAGCUGGGAGACGACGGUGGCCGGCGCCAUCCUCGAGGUGGUGUGAGGACGGCCGGCCGGCGGCGACGUGCAUGGCGUGGCGCGCGGCUAAUAAUAAAAGGGGUGUACGUACGUACGUGUCACCGGGCGUGGCUUCUCUGCAGGGGACCCACAUCGACCAAGUACUACUGCUCGUUCGUACUACGUACGUAUAUACGCCCGUGUAUACGUACGUAUGUACAUAUGUGUGUAUACGUCUUUGCUGCACGUAUGUAGAGAGACGUGAGAAUAAAGAGUGGUAGCUACAUGCACGGCGGCCAUGGCUCUCCGAUGAGAGAGCUGCUGCUAGCUGUGUUUGUGUGUGUGAUCGUCAUGUUGCUUGGUGAGGGAUCUAGCAGAAGUCUAAGUGCGCUUUGUACUAGUUGAGAGGCUAUCUCUGUAAGUGAAAUGUGGUAUAAAUAAAAAGUAAAGGGUUCCUUUUUCGGAAAUUGUAUGUUUUUUCUGUCAUGGUGGUGCUGAUUUUUCUAGCUAGCUAGAGUCCUACAAAAUUGAAUUGUUUUUUCAAGUUUUCUUGCAUUAUAAAAGUACAUUUGCAUUUGCAUUGCAUAUUUGCAUGCACGUCUGUAUAUUUAUUGCCCGAUAAGUCAUGACUAAAAAACUAUAUAUUUAUUUGGUUGAUAAGUCAUAACUAAAAGUUAAGUACUGUUUGUGAUUUGUGGUGAAAGAAAAUACUAUUAAAUAACUGAUAGAUUUGGCUGAUAAAGCUGUAUAUAUGUAUAUUUGUUUGGUUGAUAAGUCAUGACUAAAAGUACUGUAUAUUUGUUUGGUUGAUAAGUCAUGACUAAAAAUACUGUUUAUUGAUUUAUUACGAGAGAAAAAUACUGUUAAAUAACUAACAGAUUUAGCUGAUAAGGGCACUCACGAUGCAGACUCUAUCAUAGAGUCUAAAGUUAUUUAUUAUCUCGAACAAUGUAGACUUGGAGUCUAAAUAAGACUUGGAGUCUUAUUUUUUCUACCUCUUUCUUCAAUAAAUAUGCUGCCACAUCAGCAAAAUACCAUAAAUAAUGUGUAAUUAAAUGUCUUGAACUCUGUGAUAGAGUCUUGCAUUGUGAGUGCCCUAAGCUUAAAUGAAGAGACUGACAUUGACACGUAGCCAAAUAACUGUCGCCGCUUUUUCUCAUUAAAGUGGCAAUGGGUACCCGACAUGAAAUCGGUACCCGACAUGAAAAUCGAUGGGUUUUUUUCUCUAUUAGGGUAAGAAUAUGGAUCAAUUUCGUUAUCCGUGAGUAUUAACGAGGCAAAAGCUAGACCUAGCGAGUUUAUAGACAUAGCUCUGGUGGUACUCAAACCCGCAAAGCCAUGGGUUUUAAACCCGGUUCAUCAUAUCAUGAUAUAAUAAAAUUAUAGUAUAUAAGUACGAAAUACAAGAAAAUAAACAAAAUAAAAAACAUGCAAGCUCCAUAUGUUUUUUAGCGGAAGUUCAUUAUGUGAAAGUUACAGUUAGCUAUAGUGGGCCUUAAUACAUGCACUUGGUCUGUUCGGACUCAAAGAUAUGACGGGUGUUGGCACUUAGCGUUAGCAGACCAUGCCUGAGUGCAUACUGGAGCUAAAAGUUUUUGUCACAACUCGCAACGUCUAUUACGGAGGCAUAGUAACACACAACAUGAAUGUCACAUCGUCAAGUAAUUCAACUUUAAGUAUUUUGGUGUGCUAUAAAGUAGACGUGCUCACUUGACUAGAUGACCAUCUUGUGGCGUGCUAUGGUGGACACGGGCAACCUGUUGAGUAUCCAUGACCCGAUAGACAUCGGUUUAGGCAUAAAAUUAAACCCGUGACGGAUCAUAGAUUUUUUAGUAGACAUAUUUUAUGUUAUGUGCAUGGGUUUAGGAUGACAAAGCCCAAUAGAUUUGUACCCGUUGCCAUCUUUAUUCUCAUGUAUUCUACUGUAAUCUCACCUGUCUAGUACAGCUACACAUGCAGAUUUUUGGUUGGCCUUUGUGUUCUGCUACCAUCAAACUCCAUAGAUGAUCUUGCGUAGUUUUUCUGAACGGCAAAAGUUAUGUGUUUUCAUCUUACAACACACAUGUACACAUCAAAGUCAAAAGCACACGAUGGCACGACAAAGAUUCCUAGUUAGCUAGAAGAAACCCCUGAAGGCUACCUAUGUAAGUACUGGACGAAGUCUGGAACUUCCACAUGGAAGUUCUAUGCACAACUUCAAGAGUCAUCGCCGCUAUUCGAGUCCACAGACGAGGAAGAUGAGGAUGGCGAGUCAGGAGACUGGUACUGCCCUUGAGCCUGUCGCCACGUCUGGUUCAUGAAGCUCUGAGCAUGGAUAGGUUGGGGGCGGCGAGAUGGAUGUGGGGAAUGCUUGUGUCUGUGGGUCAUAUUGAUUAUUUGCAUCAUAACGUCCAUGAUCGUGGGGAGUAGUCUUGAUAAAAUCGUAAGAAGAGCAGAUAACUGCACAUAUAUAGAAGAAACUCAUUUUCAGAUCAGUGCCAAACUACGUUACAGUAAGAUUCAAUAUAAAGAGAAUUUUAUGUUCUUACCGUGCCAUGACGAAAAUAAGCAGUGAUGUCAUAUUGCAGCCAUAUGGCAUAUGACAACACAAAGGCAACAAAGAGCCCUAGAAGGUACAACGGAUUCCUGUAAAGAAAAAGAUAAAUGAACCUGUUAAACAUGCUGACAAUGAAAUCUGCAAUCUGGAAGUGUCACAGUCCUGUAGUCUGGCUUAGCCAAAAAUGGUUACCUAAGAAGAAACAUAAAUUCGUUGUAGCCUAGUAUUGCCAGAAGCAAAAUAGUCCAUGCAGGUGGCAACCAGCUCUUGCUACGCCUAUGUGCUUCCUGGCGUCAGGAAUUCAGAUUGGAAGAAUUCGAUUAGCAAAAUGCAAAAUGAAUUCAGAUAGAAAAUUCAUAAACAUAAUUCAACAAAAUGCAAAUGGUACAGAUGGCCUGACAAAACAAGUAUUCUAAAUAUGGAAAAACAAGCAGGGAUGAAAUCUAGUAUUGGUGUUCAGAAAUCUGUGUGAAACCAAGAAAAUCAGUUCCAUAAGUUGAUUAGCCAACAAAAUUUUGAACAUGGAUCAUAUUUAUGCAAGCACUGUCUCCAAAUAUGAUGAUCAAUUGAUAAGACACUAACAAAAAAUUAUACCUGCAUAGUCAUUGCUUGCGCAACAGAAUACUCUGUCUCUGCUUUGAAUUGCCUCCAGAUGGACUUACACUGCACUGGCGUAAUCAGUGUAUCCUUUGGUGAAACCUGCAAAAAUACAUAAAGCAUUCCAAACUAUUUCUCUGUAGAACAUCCUAAACCAUAAAUAUCCAAGUGUAGCGUAGGCAGCAAAACCUCUUCCCACGUGCUUGAAGCAAGUGGAUCAGAAGCAAAUUCUAUGCUCUUCUUGUGGGAAAGGGGUCCGCCAUCCAAAAGAGCAGUAGUCAGUGCCCGUUCUAUUUUGUCUGGUUUAUCAUCUAACCGUAUAGCUGCCUUUACAGACAUGAGUCUUAAAGCCUGCAGUGCAACAUGAGAUCCAGAUUAUGUUUCUCAUGGAUGAGCAUUACAAAUAAGGCCAGACACACUAGAAGUGUUGUGAUAAUGAUUAGCUGAAAAAUGUCAUGUCUAAAUACCCCUAAGCGUGCUUCUCUAGUGAUUGAACGGAUAUCCUCAUCUCCCAUCCAUGUCCUUGGCAUCAAAUCCCUAUCAUGGCUCAACACAGUGAAAAACCUACAAAUAAUCCAAUCAUAUUAGGUACAAAAUAUAUGAACACUCAUGGUAGUAGGACAUGAAAACUGACAAUGCAUUAUCCCUUUUCCAUUUCCCUUCAAAUAACAAAAAAAGGAGCAAAUUCUACCUUUCUUUCAUGCGCAUCAGAACGUUUCCAGCUUCUUCUCUAGCUUUCAUUUCUACUACGCUUCUUGCAUGUUCCCUCAAGUCCGAGACCAUCUUACUAGAAAUUGUCUGCUCUAGGUCAAACUCAGAUAGGGAAGCUGAAAAUGCAAGAGCAGCAUUUUCAGUCUCACGCCUAUAUAGUCUCCUAAUGCAUGCCCAGGAGUCUCUCUCGCCAGUUUCCAGUAUGGAUUGUACAGGCCCAGCAAUUGCGUCUGACAGCUUCUUCUGCAAUAACAAAAUGGUAAAAGGUCAAAAGAUAUGGAUUGAAUGUUCUGAGUUGACCAUGACAUCUAGAGGUUGUAAAAUCAAGGAAAGUAACCUCAUAGUUAGCUUUCAGUUCUGCCAAUUUUACGUUCCUAAUAGAUUCUACAUGAACUUGUAUAUGUUCUUGCAGUUUAUUCCUAGCUUUUGAAGCAUCCCACUGCACAUGUUUAACUGCUGUAUCUGCAUAAAAAAAGAACUAGGGCUUGAAAUCACUGAAUUGUAGAUUGUCAAAUAUAAGAGAUACAUAAUAUCAUAUAAGCUGUCUGCAUGUGUGUUCCUCACUUCAUUUGCUCAGUUCUGAACAGACCAGACCAAAAAAAAGAGAAACAGAAAAACAAAAACUGCUGUUGUUGCCACUGCCUUUUACACUCUUGUUGUGGCUGCUAAUUAACUUUAUUGUGCUCUUGCUAUCGACCACUGCGGCACUGUUAUGUGGGAAUGUUCUCUUAUGGACCUUCCAUAGGUCACGGUUCAGACCCUCAUCGCCCAUAUAUUUUUUAUGGUUACAACUAGCCGGGUUGGGCACUUCGUAUGCACUUGAUGCAUGGCCUGUGCAUUUGGGGCCCUGUUCCUUCCCCAGAGCUUGCAUACCUGAGAAAGCUACUCUGUAGUAGACGACGAAGCUUGCUACAAAGGGUUUUCUGUAUGUAGUGCUAUUCAUAACAAGCAUCAUCCAUUCCAAGAGGACACAUGAUACGAUAAAGAACUCCAGGAGCCUAGGAUUGCACUAAUGGUAUUGUCCACCAGAAGCUCACAAAAUCUUAUUGUAGCCCUUACGUAUUUUUAUAGGAAACAGGAGGGGAAGCCCCCUACUGGUUAAUAUAUAAUAAUAAUAAUGGAAGAAAAAAGAGGUGCUGUAGCGGUUGUUCACAUACCUCUUAUUCCAGCAUCAAACUCUUCCAUUGAAGCUUGAGAACACUGACGAACUGAUUCUGCAAAUCCCUCUGUGUUCCUUAAUGAUUGUUCCAGAUCACUUUUGAAUUUGUUAAGAGUCACAAGAUGCAGGUGCUCCAUUACUCUCUCGAUAGCAGGAUAUGUGUGCUGCAAAACAUGACAUUCUGAGAUAAAAAGGCCAGCUACAAAGAAGAUGAAACAGUCCACUAUCAAAGAAGCUGUUUUUUUUUUCUCGAACGACGCAGGAGAGCUGCAUGUCAUUUCAUAACUAUCAAAGGAGUUGUAACAACAAACAUCAGAUUUAUAACAUUAUAUCAGCCAGAGCUAUGUAUGUAUCAGCGCAUAGGAACUUAGAAGCGCAUGAUAAAGAUUUAGUUACUUUUUUUUUCUCGAACAACGCAGGAGAGCUGCGUGUCAUUUCAUUAAGAAGACAGAAAAACCGGUAGGCACCGGCCCAAUUACAAAAAAAAAAACUCCACUCACACACACACACACACUUCUAACAGGAGACAAGGCAACAACUAAAACCCCUGGUCAACCUAGACACCACCUAAGCGGCUAGGGACAGCGACCGAGCAAGAAGCUCUUGGAGCUUAGAAGCUCCAGCCAGCCCCCAAAAACUGCAGCCAUCAGCUGUCACCCGGAGCAGGUCUGGAAUGCUAGGCCUAGCAUGCUCGAAAAUACAAGAGUUUCUGUGUUUCCAAGUUUCCCAAGCUACUAGGAUAACUAAAGAAUUGACCCCCUUUUGCAAUUCCUUUGGAACGAGCCAAAGACUUUUCCUCCACCAGCUAGAGAAUUUGGUGUCCGAAGUUGAGGGCACAAGAGCAGGUAAGUGAAGGGCUUGAAGAAUUGAAAACCAUAUCUGCCUGGUGAAAACACACCCCACAAGGAUGUGCUGUAUGGUUUCUUCCUCCACAAAGAUUUAGUUACUAAAAGGACUGAGAUGUUUGCAGUUUGCACUAAGAUGUGGUUGGAACAUAUACUCAAAUAUAUGAAAUAAUAACCGGCAAGAUAAAAUGUCAUGAACCACUGAUUCUUAAGCAAACUUAGUAAUAGUCCUUGAGCUUGAUCAUGGUCCUCCUCAAGCAUAUAACAAAUAAAAUCAUCUAGGAUAAACUACUCAGCAAAUCAGGGUGAUUUUGGUCAUUUGAGUUACUCACAUCUAGCAUUGAAGAUUCUAAUUGUUGCCGCUUAGCAGCUCUUACACCUUCAUCAAAAUACAUGGUUUCCAUGUCAUACCUGCAACAAAAUUAGUACAAUAACUUGUCACGUCGGCUUACAAGCAACAGUCAGGUUAAUUCAUGAGACUCCGCAUUUUGCUUAGUGUUAUCUAGGACUAAAAAUAUUAUCAGUCACCUCAGAUAUCAAACACUAUUCCAAUGAUAGAGAAUUCGCAUGCUGCCAGUAUAGUUUAAAUUAUUUCAAGACGAAACGGGUAGAGCACUUAAUACAGUACCAGUAUUAACGCAUUGGAAUUCAUAUAGGAAUAACAAAAGGAGAAAAAAGAGGGCCAUUAUAAGGAAACCAGUAAUUAGAUCAACUUAUUUUCAGAUACCAACUUAGUUUCCAUAUAGACAGUCCACGGUUACAUGUCAAACAGUAUGAAAAUGCAUCAGCAUUUUGUCUCAAGACUCAAGAGAAUGAACUGAGGCAAGUAGUUAAAUCUAGCAAAUUCAGGUUUUGAACACACAGAUUCAUGGCAUCCACUAUGUUUAUCUUAACUUUCUAUGAGAAAAUCUAUGAUGAUAAUUAGUUAGAUCACCCACUCUGAUAGAUAAGAGUCGAGAAUAGCAUUGAGCCUCGUUCCGAAGCUUGGUGGCAGACCAGAUUUUACAGCUGCAUCUAGCUCCAACCAACCCUGCAGAGCAGAAUAAUUCCCAUUCAGCCAAUCAAACAAAUACUAAUACAGAAUGACAUAAGAACAUUGUCACCUCAUCGGACAAAAAGUAUUUGAGCUUUUCAUUUGCAAUCUCCUCACAUCGAACAGUAGCAACCAUGACCUAGACAACAUACAAGAAAAGUUACAUUUCAAAUAUAGAGAGUCAGCAUGUCCACACACACAAAUUAUUACUAUUUAGUUUUGUAGCAUUGAUGGCAAAUAAUGGCACAAUAACCUUGUGAGCAGGAAGGUUGAGGUCCUUAUUUUCACGUAUUACUUUCCAAAUCUGCAGUGCACUGAGACAGAAGCCUGAAGAAGGUACCACACCUCUUCUAUCAGCUGCAAGACCACCUGGUGCAAUUGAAUGAUAAAACCUCUGCCUUAGUUGUCCAACCUACAAGAAAAAAAAAAGACAUAGUACAGUAAAAGUUCUUCUGUAUCAUUAAAGUGAAAUAAUUAAGGCAUGCAUAAAUCUGAACUCAUAAGUUCCACUGAAGAUGAAAAUUUCAUAACAAAUGCAAUUUCAUCCAAUAGAGAAGAGAAGGGAAUGGGAUACAGUGAACAGAGAAAAAUAGAGUAAUUGUACGACCAGUCUACCUGCUCCUUAAAUAGUUCUUCUUUCUCUUCAUAACUCGAUAGAGCAGUGACCUCCACCUUUAUAUUGCAGAAAAUAUGAGUCAGUUGAUGCAUGAAAGCCUUACUUUAAGAAAACUAAUGCACUGACAUUGAAGAAAUCACUAAGCGCUGCUUCCUUGUAAGCUUCUGGUUUCUGAACAGACUCCCAUAUCUGAUAAAAAAAAAGACAGUGAUUUAUGAGAAUUGCGACACGACAAAGAGGAAAGCAGGUAAGCUGAUAAUAAAGCAUUGGCACCUUCUCAAUAUCCUCCUUGAGAGCUUGUGUCAGGUACUCUAGUGGAGUCUGCAAAUACAGGAUCAAAAUCAGAGCACAAGAAAAGUCAAACAAACUGAAAAUAUCAAACUGCAGAAUAUAGACAAAGAAACUGUACAAACCUUUGUUUUAUCGCGGAUAACAAGUAGCAGUGUCGUCUUGCGAGGGCUGAAUAAACGCAUCAAGACCUUAAUAAAGAGAGAAAUGAUAAUAAGUGACUGAACAUGGGAGAAAAGGAAUACAGUAUCUCACUGUAAGGGAAGUAUCACCUGAAAUACUGUUCUCAAAAGAGGCCUGUUAGCAGCAUGUUCUCGCCCAAUGUCAUGACACCACCUGCAGAUGGCAUAAUACUUAAAUAUCUCCUUGCUCACCAAAAUUUUAACUUUCAGUAAAGCAGUAAUAUGUGAAAUAGAAACUCACAAAUUUAUCAUAACAAUGUCUGAAACUGCAAGAGCAAACAGAGCACUCUGCUUCUCGAAAGCUGUAUCAUCCUGCAAGAAGAAAACACUAGUAUAUAAGCGAUAAAUAACAUUAGGUAAGCCUAAAACACAAGAAAUUCCAGAUUUGUGAAAACUAUAAAUGACUGACUAUGUAUAAUUUAAGUUGAUGCAAGGAGAUCUUUGUUCAACACAGAGAGAACGGGUAUGGUUAAUUAAAACUAAAUUAAUUACACUAAAAAUAAUGGAUGCACAAAUGAGUUGCUUGUAUUCAGGCAGCAGAGUGUAAACUAGUGACUAACGCGAAGGGACAUGUAUAGCUCCAAGCAACCAAAUGCAUUAAUCACCCACAUGGUAUAUUAUUGGCAACAUUACUCACUGUAUAGUAGUCCUGAAUCUUUAAGAUCCAUACAGGAGAUUAACAACGGCAUCAAUGGUGCAUGUGAAUCAAUCCAAGUACUAAUAAUUACUAAACACAGCCAAAUUCUUCUUGGCAGGUUAAAUGCCAUAGUACAUAGCAAAUCAGGUACUUGUAAAUUGUAAUUUGGCAACCCGUCAGCACAUAAUGAGUUAUGGUAAGGCUUAAGGCACAACGCACAGAGAACACAAGAACAUGCUAUAGGGGGAGGAGGAGGAGGAGGACCAGAACAGUCAAUUAGUAAUGUCGAACAUGAAAAACACACUUUGAUAAGGAAGAAGAACACUGUUCGGGAACAUUUAAUAAGUUGAGAAACGGCUGCAAGUAGAACUUUCACCUGCCCUCGCUCCCUCCCGUCGGUCCCCUCGAGGUCCAGCACAACAGUGAAGGGCUCGAUCCCAACAGCCUUGGCGAUCCAAAUGCCCUUGGUGGUCUGGUGCCUGCAGGUGUGGAACAAAACGAUCAGAGCACACGUCCCACCACAGAUGUAGAUGAUGUUACAACUUACAAGCAAUGCUUCUGCUGGUGCUCGCGUAGUUUACCUUCCUUUCAAGGCAUCCAUUUCCCUGAAGCUUGUCCCGAAGACGUGGUUGAGCAAGGUGCUUUUCCCUGGCCGGUGUACAAAGCAGCAGCAGCAGCAGCAGCCGUUAGAGACGAGCCCCGAAUCCAAUCCAAUUACCAGGACAAAAUCGCUAAAUGAUGGUUGAUGGAAUUGAAAUUGAAGCCUAGCAGAGCGCCAGAGCUCGACGAUCAUUACAAUACACAUGGACGGGGAACCAAUCAACUGUGCAGUAAUAAUGUAGUACUAAUAUAUUUAUUUAGACGCAAAUUGGCAACGGCCUGUAAUUCUGGGGGGAAAGAUUGGCCACGCCACGCCACGACUAUACGAGGAUGGAUCAUUCUCGAUUCCUUACCGAUCGAUCAGAUCACCAUGAUCAGCUGACUAACAAAGACAGGAGACUUUUACCCGGGAGAUAACGGAAUGUCUGAAACUCUGAAUCCGUUCACUACGCACGCCGACUCUGCACAAAACCCAGUGCACGAGGAGGACGCCGCAGCACCUACCAGAAGCAGAGGGGAAGGGGGGAGGAAGGGUGACGCGGCUGACGUAUACGCACGUACCGCUGCCCUGGGGCCCGAGGAUAGAGACGACGGCGUAGGAGAGGCCGCGCCCCUGGAGCCCCGCGGCGGCGGCGAACCGCUCCGUCGCCGCCGCGUCCAUCUCGCCGUCCGCGCCCACCACCUGCGCCGCGUGGCACUCCCCGCCGCCGGCUCCCUCGACGCCCCCCGCCGCCGCCGCGGCCAUCGAUCCUCCCCACUCGGUCGCCGCCGGAGAACCGAACGAAGCAACCCACGAGUUGCUUGCAGCAGAGCACAGCUGAGAGGGGACGCGCAGGCAGGCAGGCAGGCAGGCAGACAGGUGUCGCGCUGCGCCGCUGUAGUGGGGUUUAUACGUGGGUUUACCGAAGCAAUAGGAAUAGAAAAACGGCGGAUGGAUUGCGACGGAAGGGUUGGAGCCCAUCCAGGGGCUUCCAAGCCAUACGUGGCUACAACAGCAAGACGAAUCCGUGACUCUAAAAAAAAAAAACAAAUAACAACGACCCGAAUCCGAAUACCAAUAGCCCUUUUAUCGAGCGAUUAUUACUCUAGUUAAAUCUUAAGGAUUGUAUACAUCCACGUUUGAGCAAAUUAGGCAGAUCACUCAUGGUUUACAGUCAUAUAGUCUUCGAGCAUAUUCGCUUGUCUGAAAAGUUAUUGUUGAAAAUAUUAUUCGCUGAUUUGUUACAAGAGAAAAACACCGUUGAAUGACUGGUAGAUUCGAGCUCAAAUGAACUCGCUCUUCAUCGUAUGUCCUGCACAAGUAUACAUUGAUCCAUGCAAGCAAAGAGCCCGAACUGAGCAGAUAGCUAAAUAUGAUUUUUCUUAGAAUAUAUGGAUCCACUCAGCUAAAACAAAGAAGAUAAAAACAACCAAACAUCUAAAAAGUACUCCCUCCAUCCCAAAUUGUAAGUCAUUCCAAAAAUCUUAGAGAGUCAAAGUAUUUUUACGUUUGACAAAAAUUAUAGAGAAAAAUACUAAGAUUUGUAACGUAAAGUGAGUAUACUAUGAAAAUAUAAUUAUGAAAGAAUCUAAUAAUACUUAGUUAGUAUCAUAAUUAUUAUUAUUUUAUAAUAUAAAUUUAGUCAAACUUAGAAAAGUUUAACUCUCUAAAAUUUUUAGAAUGACUUACAAUUUAGGAUGGAGGGAGUAUAUCCUAUUAUCCUCACUCCAUUCCAGAAGCAAAGAGCCCAAUAAUGAAAGGUUGUUUGGUUCACAUACUACACCGGUCACUUUUGUAGAAUAUGGCCACCGCACCCUGUGGCAUAAAUUUCUACUACUCCACAUCUUAAAGUGGAACCAAACAACUUUUUGGCGCGUUGCAGGUUAAGCAGGCGAGGUGUGGCGGCGAGCUAAACAUCCCCUCGAUCUUUCUCCUCUUCCCUCCAAUCAUGAUAAACAUCGGAGGCCUCGUUUGGAUCCUUGGAAGAAUUUAUUUUAAUAAUUACAAUUUAGGCACAGUUUAAUUAAGCUAAUAUAGUUGUAUAUAGGAAUAUAUUUGUAUACUACUAUUAGCCAUACAAGUGGGAUAUACUUAUAUGUUACAUUUAUAAAGUGAGUUGAAAAAACAUGUUAUAAGUUGUAGAGUAGAAACAUGACACGGUGAUCUGUAGAAUCAAUUUUCAUCUCUCAUCUUAUGAAUACGUGAACUUGAGAAAGUUAUUGAAUGUUAAAUUACAAGCCAAAUAAGAUAAUUUAUUAAGUAGAUUUUAAUUCCUCUAAAAAUAUCCGCGUUUGAUAGGUUUUUUUUAGAAGCAACAAACAUCAUAGUUUUAUUUUAGUGGAAACAGACAUCAUAGUUGAAAUCGUGCCUUUGGUAUUGUCGUAAAGAUACGAGGGCCCAUUUCUUAAAAAAAGAAAAAGAAAAAAAAAGAAAUAGCAAAGCCUUCGGACCAUUAAGGGCCAACUCAAUGUUGGGCCGCAUUCUUUUCCUUAGGCCCGACCGCAGGAGGCCUUGUCCGAUACUACUGUCACAAUAGAUAAUGUCUUGCGCUGGUCAAACUUUUCAAUUUUAAUUAAAUUUAUAGAAAAUACUUACAGCAUAUCGCAAGAUUUAACAAUGAAAAAUCAUGAACACAAGAUCCUUACCCAAUUAAAGAUGCCACAUACCGCAGUUACAAUCUCUUAACAUCAUAAAGUUCUACAAGGCAGAGCCUCUGCAAGGAUGAUAAACAAAGCAUAUAAGUUUAGUAAUUUCUGAAGCCAAUUGUCAUUUCCACACAGCACACAUUCUCAAAGAUUGUUUUCCCGUACAUAAAUUAGAAUGGGUUUUGCUACGGUACACCCAAAUAACUGUGAACCAUAGAUCUGGAUAACAAUAAUCACAUAUUACCUCCUAAAAGGUAAUAGAAUAAAUAAUUUUAUUUAUUUUGAGAAAUAGGAAAGCAAGUAAUAUUUUGAGUGAAAUAUCUAUCAAUUAGAUCUAACAUGCAUGCAACAGCUUGAGGCAUGCAUUUGUAUGGAUGGUUCUUAGCAUGACAUGUAAUUUAUUUUAUGUCAACGUUAGCUAUACCUAUACGUGACUUAUAUUUUUCUCUAAUCAUGACAAAAUUAUAGGUGUGCUUUAUUAAUUAUUUACUUAAAAGUUGGAUCAUCAACGUGUUGGUAACGAGAGUAGUCUUGAAUGUGUCCAUAUUUAAAUUAUUGAUAAUGAGAACACCGUACCAGCUGCCUUGAACGUGUUGGUAUUUAAAUUAUUUAUUUAUUUAUAUUCAUGAUCCUAACAUUAGUAUUUUUGGAAUUUUGAAAAUGUAUGUUUUUUUGGUAACAACAAGUUCUAUUGUGUCAUCGGAACAUAACUUUUCAUGUCUCACGUGUCCUACAUGGUGUUGGUGUGCAAAGCAGCUACUACAUCCGUACAGGAGUAUAUGGCAACAAACAAGCUUUUGGCGUUGAUUUAGUUGUUGCCUUUUCUUUUUAUUUUUCUAUAUAUUUUAAUUAAUUAAUAAUUACUUAAUUAUUGCAUGUAUUUUUAAAAAAUCAAGGGUUGAGAUUUAUUUGAGAUCUUACCUCCUAUAAGAUAAUAGGUGUACCAAAACAAGUCACGUAUAAAUUAUAGGUGUGCUUUAUUAAUAUUUUUUCUCUAAUCCUAAUAUCAACCGUUGGAUCUGAGUGAGUAAGAGAAAGUUGAUGCUAGAGUAGAUCUCAUCGUUUUUGUUUUUAAGGUGGGCUGUUUCUAGAUGUAUUUUUUAGGUGCAUUUAGGAGAGUUCAUGACUAUGGUGGAUAUAAUUUUGACGUGGCUUUAGAAAAGUUUAUAUCGAUGUAUUAUAUGUAGUAGAGAUAGAGUUAGAGAUUACAAUAUAUUUUGUUUCUAUAAUUUACCUCUUUGACGAGGCAAUACUGUUAUUCAUAAACAUUCUUUAGAUAGUUUGGUGAAGCGCCCCUGGUAAACCAGGAACUCAAAUGUGAUACAAUACUAGUCCCAGGAGGCUAGUAACACAUUUAUUACAUCAGAUAAGUUUCAGCGCAGUAGUCUUGGAAAGCGUGUACAAGGAAGGCACGCUAUAAUAAUAAGACACCAAAAUACAACACCGGUCCAAAGGACCCAGAAACAAACGAUAUCGCCAUCGAACAUCUAACGAGUCCCAAUACCACAGGCUUAGUUGGGUGCAGACACGACCUUACUCGAACGCGACUUCGGCAUCGAAGUCCGGAUCUUCCUCUGUUUAAUAAAGCAAGGGUGAGUACAAAGCACUCAGCAAAUCCAACGUUACCCUACGGAAGAGGUUAACAAUAUAUAUGCAUAUGGAUAAAUCAAGGAUGAGGCUUAGUUUUAUUUGCAUAAAGCUAUCUUUUUACACAUGCAAGAUUUUAUUUCACAAAUACUGUUGUAAAAGACCUCUUUUUCCACAUAUGAUAGUAUUUCUAAAAAUGGGGGUUUGAUCACAAUUUUAAGUGUUGUUGAACCCUUGUUCCCACAACACAAUGGCAGUCAACCAUUUAUUUCCAAAAUCACACUCACUCUCAUGUUUUCACUCAUCCCAUCCCAUCUAGUUGUUGAAACCAAACCAUAACCCGUCCGAGACCGCGGACACGGCUAUCCAGAUAGAUUUACACUCUGCAGAGGUUGUACACUUUUCCCACAAGUAGGAUACCAUAACUUACACCGUCGUGCAAGCACAGAUCCAUCAAAGUCAUUACCCUCCGUAGCUAAGUAAUGGCGCUCACCACGGGAACACUAAGGCCACAUCUCAUGAUACCACAAUAAUUCACAAAGCUCUUUUCAUAUAUUUCCACAAUUUCACAUACAUCACUUAGUGUCCCGUUGCACACCUGCCUCCAGGUGAUUGCCAUACUAACUAGAGGGAUUUAGACUAAGUCUUUCCCAUGCAAGGCGAGUGGUUGUACGAUAAAUGAGUUAGGCAAGAUGAAUCAUCAACUCAGUCCUUAAUCGAGACAAGGCGGAUAUCUUCUCGCUUAACCCCGCAAGGUAUAAGCCACAACACCAGGGCAUCCUCAAAGAGAUCCCAUCCGCCCCAUCUUCAUAGUAAUCACAUCUAUAACUUGUUCAUUAACCCUUUCACAAUACCCACAAUUUAUUUUCACCACUCACACCUUUUACUUUUAAAAUCAUUAUAUUUGAGAAAAUACAGUGAUGAUUAUCCAGAUGAGUAACAAGUUCUAAGCAUACUAAAUAAUAACAUUUCUGUCAUAGUAUAUUAUUUGUUCCUAGGUUCGAACAAGACAAUUACCGGGCAAUAUCAAUUCAAGGAUGGCUAUUCAAUAGGUUUUAACUAAGCAGCGAAAAUACUUCGUACAUAUAUCGUACAUGCAAUAUUUAAAACGGCUUCUACGGGUUGUGUUUGAAAAUAGGAUCAAUAUGCAUCAAAGGGGAUCGGUUGGACUUGCCUCCGUCGGCGUCCUCGGCAAACUCCUGCUGACAGUCCGGGUCCUCGGCGUCAAACUCGCGGUACUCGUUUCCAACGUUCUCGUUUUCCGGCUCGUUCACUCCGUCAGCUAAAAUACGCGACGAACGACACAGACAACAGACACAGAUAAAUAAUCACAUAAAUUUAAAUGAGCUCUAAAAAUCAUGAAAUUAAUAUGGAAGGUAGAUCAUGAUUUUAGAUGAAUUUAGGAAAAAGAAUUAUUAAAAUCAGAGUUAGCAUGUGGCAUUUGUGAAAUGGCCGGAAUUUAAUCAUGAAAAAGGCUAACGAUGAUUAAGGAAUGGAUGAUUCACGUGGGCAUUUGUUUGGCUGGUAAUGCAUGUUGCAUGCAUGCAUGUACUAUUUGGAGUUAAUGCUUGGCCCACACAUGCAUGGUUAGAGAGAAAUUAGCAGAAGGUCAUUAGAACUCUUCUGUAUGUCAUGGUUCUAUUCGUGGAGUUCUUGGCAGUGAAUCGGUACAGACAAAUACAUGGAAAAAUACAGAAAAAUACUAUAGAAAGACAGAGAAGAACAAGGAGAUGCUCAUGAGCUGCUCACCUCGUCUUGCGACGACAGUCGAGCUCGGCUUGUGCGUAUGGCCGUAUACGGUAUACGCGAAGUGAGAGCGAGUGAGCGAGUGAGUGAACGUGUUUCUCGGGUGGUGAGAGUGAGCACCCGAGGCUGGCUUUUUAUAGGCCAAAGCGCUCAGCUGCGUGCCAUUAAAAAUGCAACUGUAGCGCAUGGUCGGUGCCUAAUUUCAUGCGAAGGACGAUGUCCCAUUUGCAAUCACGUUGCAUGCAAAUGGACGGUGCCUAAUCACCGUGUCCUUGCAUGCAGGUGCAUGCAAAUGGUCGGUGGCAUGUCCUGCAUGCAUGCAUGAGAUAUAUAUUCGUGUAGGUGCACUGCUAUGUUUUCUCGCAUGUAAGCUUGCUGGUACUUGCUAUUAUUUGUGCGCGAAAAAUAUAAAUGGUGCCUAGUUGUACGCUGCGACUUGCUAUCUUUUUGUACAGCAAAAGAGGCGCGGGAAAAGGCAAGAGGUGGGGCCCGCAUGCCGCGGUGCGCGCGCGAGCGAGUGCGCUCGGCGAGGGGGCCGGGCGUGAGUGCGCUGCGGCGCUGAUGGUGGUGGGGUCGGCGCACGCGCCGUUGCCGGGUAUCGGGCAGAGCGAGCGAGCAAGAGGGAUAAGUAGCGGACAUAUGAUGCUCAUGCCAUGCGGUGCAGGUUAUAUUUAAAGAUGGAUAAUUAGAAUGGAUGGAAAAAGAAUUAGAUGGAGAUACUAUAGAGCUCAAAUGAUUUAUAGUUUUUGAAAUAUAUUUUGAAAAUAAUUUUUUUAAGGCGAGUGAUUUUUGAAUGUGAAUUUUUGGGAUGUUACAAACCUACCCCACUUAAAAGGAAUCUCGUCCUCGAGAUUUGGCUGGGUUCUAAACAGGUGAGGAAACUCUUUUCUCAGGGCAUCUUCUCUUUCCCAUGUUGCUUCCGCUUCAGUGUGUCUACUCCAUUGAACACGACAAAUUCGGACUGUUGUCGUUCGAGUUUGCUUGGUGACUGUAUCUAGGAUUUUUAUUGGCACUUCUUGAUAUCUUAGGUCAUCUUGUAAAUCAACUGUAUCUGGCGAUAUUUGUUCCUCUGGUACUUUGAGACAUUUCUUCAAUUGGGAGACAUGAAACACAUUGUGUAUAUCUGACAUUUCUUCAGGUAGCCGAAUACGAUAGGCUACAGCUCCAAUCCUCUGUAAUACUUGAUAUGGUCCAAUAUACUGAGGUGCUAGCUUGCCUCUGACUUGGAACCUUCGAGUUCCUCGAAUAGGAGAGACUUUGACAUACACAAAAUCUCCAACUGCAAAACUUAACUCCCGCCUUCUUUUAUCAGAAUAGCUCUUUUGACGUGAUUGUGCCUCUUUCAAUUUUUCUCUGAUUUCAGCUACACGAUCUUCUGCUUCUUUUAUAAGGGCUGGUCCAAGCAAGGUUCGUUCUCCAACUUCUGACCACAUCAAUGGGGUUCUACAUUUUCUUCCAUACAGGGCCUCAAAAGGUGACAUGCCCAAACUAGCUUGGUAACUAUUAUUAUAGGAGAACUCUGCAUAAGUUAGGCUUUUCUCCCAAUCUUUACCAUAUGUGAGCACACAUGCUCUUAGCAUAUCUUCCAUAAUCUAAUUUAUUCUUUCAGUCUGACCAUCUGUUUGAGGAUGAUAAGCUGAGCUAAAAUCUAGCUUGGUUCCCAUAGCUUCAUGCAAACUUUUCCAGAACUUAGAGGUAAAUUGGGUACCUCGGUCAGAUACAAUCCUACUUGGCACACCAUGCAAUUUGACUAUGUUAUCCACAUAUAGCUGGGCUAACUUGUCUCCACUAUAUUUGGUGCGUACAGGUAUGAAGUGAGCAACCUUGGUAAGGCGGUCCACUAUUACCCAUAUUGAAUCAUUUCCUUUCAGAGUUUUGGGUAAUCCAUUCACAAAAUCCAUGCCUAUCUCAUCCCAUUUCCAAACAGGAAUAGGCAAUGGCUGGAGCAAGCCUGCUGGUUUCUGAUGCUCUGCUUUAACCCUUUGGCAUACAUCACAUUGUGCAACAAAUCGUGCCACAUCAGCUUUCAUUCCAUUCCACCAAUAUCUUUCUUUUAAGUCCAUGUACAUCUUGGUGGCACCAGGGUGGAUAGAAUAAGCUGAGUUAUGGGCUUCAUCAAGGAUUAAUUCUUGAAACUUUCCCUCCUUGGGCACACAAAUCUUGUUUUUAUACCACAAUACUCCUUUGUUAUCCACUCUAAAGUAUGGAGCUUUAUUUUCUCCAGUUUGCUCACGAAUCUUCAUCAGAUCCUUAUCCUUAUGUUGUGUCUGUUUGAUUUCUUCCACAAGAGUUGGCUGCACCAUCAAACUGCCAUUUUGAGGUUGACGUACUAUAUGCAUGUUCAAUUGUGCUAUCUCUUCUUGUAGGUGAGUGUUCUUAGGCACCAACUGCUGACCAUAUGACCUUCUGCUUAGGGCAUCUGCUACAACAUUGGCCUUUCCUGGGUGGUAAUGAAUCUCAAGGUUGUAGUCCUUGAUUAAUUCCAACCAUCUUCUUUGCCUUAGGUUCAAGUCUGACUGUGUGAAGAUGUACUUCAAACUCUUGUGAUCAGUGUAGAUUUCACACUUGUUUCCAAUGAGGUAGUAUCUCCAAAUCUUGAGAGCAUGUACUAUCGCUGCUAACUCCAAAUCAUGGGUAGGGUAAUUUUGCUCAUGAGGUCUAAGCUGACGGGAUGCAUAAGCAACCACUUUUCCUCCUUGCAUGAGAACACAUCCUAAACCUUGUCUUGAGGCAUCACAGUAUAUGAUGAAAUCUUGGUGAAUGUCUGGCAAAGUUAACACUGGUGCUGUUGUCAGUCUCUUCUUCAACUCUUGGAAACUCUUCUCACAUGAUUCAGUCCAAGUGAAUUUCUUAUCCUUCCUAAGAAGCUCUGUCAUGGGUCUGGCUAUCUUGGAAAAUCCUUCUAUAAACCUUCGAUAAUAUCCAGCUAAUCUAAGAAAACUUCUAACCUCACUCACAUUGGUGGGUUGCUGCCAAUGGGAGACAGCUUCUACUUUCUCAGGGUCAACUGUAACUCCUUCAGCUAUCAAGAUAUGGCCUAGAAAUGCAACCUUCUCAAGCCAAAAUUCACACUUGCUGAAUUUAGCAUACAACUUGUGUCCUCUUAGCUUUUCCAACACUACUCUCAAGUGUUGCCCAUGUUCUUCAGCACUCUUAGAGUAGAUAAGUAUGUCAUCAAUGAAGACUACAACAAACUUAUCUAACUCUUCCAUGAAUACCUUAUUCAUGAGGUUCAUGAAAUAGGCAGGGGCAUUGGUUAACCCAAAAGACAUCACUGUAAACUCAUAUUGUCCAUAUCUGGUUACAAAGGCUGUCUUGGGGACAUCACUAUUCUUGAUCUUGAGCUGGUGAUAAUCUGAUCUCAAAUCAAUCUUGGAGAAAUACUUGGCCCCUUUAAGCUGAUCAAAAAGGUCAUCUAUCCUUGGCAGGGGAUACUUAUUCUUGAUGGUGACUUCAUUCAGGGACCUAUAAUCCACACACAUCCUUAUACUUCCAUCUUUCUUCUUCACAAACAAGACUGGGGCUCCCCAUGGUGAAGAACUAGGUCUAAUAUAACCUUUCUGCUGUAAUUCUCUUAGCUGCUCUUUCAGUUCAGCUAACUCUGCCGGAGCCAUUCUGUAAGGUCUCUUGGCUAUGGGGGCAGUCCCGGGGAUAAGAUCAAUGAUGAACUCUAUAUCCCUGUCUGGUGGCAUUCCAGGUAGUUCCUCAGAGAAUACAUCAGGGUAUUCUUGCACUAUUGGUACUUCCUCUAUGGUCCUUGCAUCCAAGUUGAAGACCAUUGGAUUAACUUUAGACCCUUGGGUUUGGCAUUUCACUUUAAUCCCUUCAUGGUUAACUAAUGAUACUUCCUUGGUUGCACAACUAAUAAUUCUAUUAUGUCUGGUUAACCAAUCCAUUCCAAGGAUAACAUCUAUUCCUUUGGACUUGAGCACUACUAAUUCUGCUAAGAAAACUACCCCACUUAGAAUGAUCUUUACAUUCGAACAACCUAGAUGACAUUUGAUGUCAGACCCAGGUGUUCGGGUUAUUAGGGGUAACUUUAGUAGUACUGUGGGUAUUUGAUGCUUCUCAACAAAACUUGAUGAUAUGAAUGAAUGUGAUGCUCCAGAAUCAAAUAAUACUGUUGCAAGUACUGAAUCGACUAAGAACUCACCAAGUACCACUCCUGAAGCAGUCUGAGCAUCCUGAGCAUGAGUAUGGUUGACACGGGCUCUACCAUAGGAUUGUUGAGGUUGCUUCAUCAUCUGGCUAUUAUUGUUGGUGUUGCUAUUGUUGCGAGAGAAACCACGGUUGACUCCAGACACUGUAGGUCUUGGUCCAUUAACGGUGUGGGACUGAGUGGAUACUGCUGGUGGGUUGUUCUUGUAGGGACAGUUGGCGAUGUAGUGUCCAGUCUCAUGGCAAUUAAAGCAAGUCCUAACAUUGUUUGUGACUUGACCAGUGCUGUUCUGUUGAGUCUUGCCAUAAGUUUGAUUCUGAUAAGUUGUCUUGGGCUGAUAUGAUGACUGCAUUUGGUUAUUGGAGACACUAGCAGGAGAGCGAAACUGCAUUGGGGCUUGAGUCCGCUGGCUUGGUUGGCUAAAGGUUUUCAGCCUCUGGGAUCUAGCACCAUCUUGAACCUUGCGCUCUAGAAACUUGCGCUUGUUCUCUUUCCUUUCUUCAGUCUUGGCCACAUCAGUCAGAAUGGUCCUGUUCAUCAAGGUGUUGAAGUCUGGAUAGAUUUGUGGGGUCAUGAGGGUUCUAAGCUCACAGGUCAAUCCUUCUAUGAACUUUGUCUGCUUCUUAGCUUCAGUGUUGACCAAUUCUGGGGCAUAGCGAGACAACUCAGUGAAUUGGAAGAUGUAUUCACUCAGAGUUUUAUUUCCUUGCUUCAAGUUGCGAAAUUCAUCAGCCUUCGGCUUCAUGAUCCCAUCUGGAAUGUGGUACCGGCGAAAUUCAUCCACAAAUUCCUCCCAUGUGAUCGUGUUGGCAUUGUCCACAGCUCCACUAUAGGCUUCCCACCAAGAAAGGGCAAUUCCUGUCAGCUGAUGAGAUGCUAGCAGAACUCUAUCUCUUCCAUCACAGUGGAUUGUGUCCAACUUUCUUUCAAUCACCUUAAGCCAAUCAUCUGCUUCCAUGGGGUUGUCAGAUCCAGUAAAGGUGGGUGGCUUAAGCCUCAUGAACUCAGUCAUCUUGUCUUGGACUCCGGCUCCACGGUUGUUCCUAGGGCGGUUCAUGCCUUGAGCCAAGGUCUCCAGAAGGCGAGUCUGAGUUGCCAUGACUUGUACUAAGUCAAUUACUGGAGGAGGGGGCAAGUCAUCUCCUUCAUUAUGGUUCCUAGUCUGACUCACUUCAUCUUCAUGAAUACCGUCAACAUUUGCAUUGGCUUGACUUCCAUUUGGAUUUUGGCUUUGCCUACUAGCUGCACGACCACUUGGUUGAGAGCGGGUAGCUGGUUUGGGAGGCAUAUGUUGGUUAAGAUGAGAAAGCAUUAGAUAAGGGUUAGAUCUAUUGAGUGAUGUUGUUUUUUUGUUAAGGCGUUAUAUUUUAAAAAGGUGCAAGUUUUAAGACUUGCUAUCCCGUAAGGGAACAACAUAGAGCACUCAAUUAUUUAGCACAACCAACAAGCACAAAUAUAUAUUUUGAAUAAGAGGGCGGUUUACAACAUAGUAAUGGAGGAAAUAAGCAUACUACAAUACGAUUCGUCUACUUUGGGGGUUGAACAAAAGUGAAGUAAACUUCACUUCCCCAAGACAUAAGGAGGAACUAGGUGCUAUUAUUCUUCAACUUCUUCGGACAGAACGGCUUCAUUCCCUUGGUGUUGAGGUGGAUCAUGCUUCCGGCAUUUGUGGUUCUUCUUUUGGACUAAGAGGUGGGUCACUGUCUUCUUUUGGUGCUGCCUGGGUGAGGAGGAGAAAUCCUUCUUCCUUAGUGGACUCCAACUCUAAAGCUUCAUGAGAGGCUUCUGUGGGUGGGGGAGCUGAUGGCCCUUCUAUGUCCAUCUUUCUUUUGGUUUUUAGGGACAUGAUUGGGAUACCUUUUAGGACUAUGGGCUCUUGGUCUUCCUCUGCUAACAUCCUUCUUUUGAUCCUGGUGAUAAGGUAGGCAUCCUUCAACUCCUGAGCAUGGCGGUCUUUAGCUGCCUUCAAGACUUCAGCAAUGGCGGUUUCACGACUCUCGGCUGCAGCUGCUUGGGCCUGAGCUUCUGCAAGCUGCACAUGGAGCUUUCUAACUAUGAUCUCGGCUUCCUGCGCACGAUGGAUGCACUUCCUUAACUCUGAGGCCUGCUCAUCAUAUUGCUUAUCUAGAGCAAGAAGGUACGUGGUCAUGAAUACCACAGUUGGGUCAUCUUCAAGUGAGUAACGUCCUUGCAAGAGCUCCAUGCGGGUCCUCCAAACUGGUCGGUCUUUUUCAUCGGGUGGAAAGAACCUCAUGGGUGUACGGGUGAUGGGCUUCUCGUAGAUCUGGCAUAGGUACCUCAAGGCUUUGCUGGCGACGGCUUGAUAUGUAUCUGCAAACCGAAAUCCGGUCGCAGUCAUGCUCCAAGCUUCAGCUAUAUUAGGGAAGUCCUCACUUUUCCCAAUAUAGACGGUAACUUCACACCGCUCAGUCUCAUGCUCUUCAUAUUCUCUGCCUUCAUAUUCUGGGCGAUCCUUGAUUCCAAGUUUCUGCAUGGUAGCAUACAAGAGCUUGGGAAAGCCUUCUACACUUAGACAGUAACUGCUGGUCCAAACUCCUUCUGCCAUCUAAGAGACAUAGAUGAGAGUAAAUAUUUUAUUCAAAUAGAGGGAAGAGGGUAAGAACUUUUGUAAAAUACGUUUAUUUAGUAAAAUACUGGUCCAGAAAAGCCUAAGGUCGCGUCCUAAAGCCAACUACGGCUCUGAUACCACCUGAAGCGCCCCUGGUAAACCAGGAACUCAAAUGUGAUACAAUACUAGUCCCAGGAGGCUAGUAACACAUUUAUUACAUCAGAUAAGUUUCAGCGCAGUAGUCUUGGAAAGCGUGGGCAAGGAAGGCACGCUAUAAUAAUAAGACACCAAAAUACAACACCGGUCCAAAGGACCCAGAAACAAACGAUAUCGCCAUCGAACAUCUGACGAGUCCCAAUGCCACAGGCUUAGUUGGGUGCAGACACGACCUUACUCGAACGCCACUUCGGGAUCGAAGUCCGGAUCUUUCUGUGUUUAAUAAAGCAAGGGUGAGUACAAAGUACUCAGCAAAUCCAACCUUACCCUACGGAAGGGGUUAACAAUAUAUAUGCAUAUGGAUAAAUCAAGGAUGAGACUUAGUUUUAUUUGCAUAAAAGCUAUCUUUUUACACAUGCAAGGUUUCAUUUCACAAAUACUGUUGUAAAAGACCUCUUUUUCCAUAUAUGAUAGUAUUUCUAAAAAUGGGGGUUUGAUCACAAUUUUAAGUGUUGUUGAACCCUUGUUCCCACAACACAAUGCAGUCAACCAUUUAUUUCCAAAAUCACACUCACUCUCAUGUUUUCACUCAUCCCAUCCCAUCUAGUUGUUGAAACCAAACCAUAACCCGUCCGAGACCGCGGACACGGCUAUCCAGAUAGAUUUACACUCUGCAGAGGUUGUACACUUUUCCCACAAGUAGGAUACCAUAACUUACACCGUCGUGCAAGCAUCAAAGUCAUUACCCUCCGUAGCUAAGUAAUGGCGCUCACCACGGGAACACUAAGGCCACAUCUCAUGAUACCACAAUAAUUCACAAAGCUCUUUUCAUAUAUUUCCACAAUUUCACAUACAUCACUUAGUGUCCCGUUGCACACCUGCCUCCAGGUGAUUGCCAUACUAACUAGAGGGAUUUAGACUAAGCCUUUCCCAUGCAAGGCGAGUGGUUGUACGAUAAUUGAGUUAGGCAAGAUGAAUCAUCAACUCAGUCCUUAAUCGAGACAAGGCGGAUAUCUUCUCGCUUAACCCCGCAAGGUAUAAGCCACAACACCAGGGCAUCCUCAAAAGAGAUCCCAUCCGCCCCAUCUUCAUAGUAAUCACAUCUAUAACUUGUUCAUUAACCCUUUCACAAUACCCACAGUUUAUUUUCACCACUCACACCUUUUACUUUUAAAAUCAUUAUAUUUGAGAAAAUACAGUGAUGAUUAUCCAGAUGAGUAACAAGUUCUAAGCAUACUAAAUAAUAACAUUUCUGUCAUAGUAUAUUAUUUGUCGAGGGUAUCGGUAAGGGGUACCCUCAGCAAUGCACAUUAUGAGAUUGCCCGUACGAAGGUCGAGACCCUUAAUUCGACGCUCUAAUCUUACGUAUGCGCCGCCAUCGACAGUCGCAGCCUCGAAGACGGAAAUAGUCUCGAGCGAAUCGGUUCAGGACUCGAACGACGACUGCUGUCGAUGACGGGAGCGGGCUCGAGCGAACCAAGAGCUGUCGGGCGCGAGGACACUGUCCGCCGCCCGACGCGCGCACGCGAGCCGGAGCAUUAAAUGCACCUGACGCUUCCCCACCUAACACACAGGUCAUGGGAGGCGUGAUAGGGAGCAAGCUUCUGUCCCAUCGUUCUUUUUGCAGCCUUCCCACCGAACGACCCAGGGCGCGUCAGGACGCGGGAAACAAGGAUGGAACGUCUAAUCGGGACCCCCUCGAGACGCCCAAGGUCAGCGCUCCAGAUAUCAGAAUAUUACGCGGCGCCCGAUCCUCGACCGAACAAGGUCCCUUCCCAGGGACAAGUCGGGCGUCGACUGACAACACCACAGCUGCUCCGCCGGAUCCGCCACCAUACCAUACGAGCAUGCGACCUCAGAACCAGCACAAGGCGGCUGGCAGGGCAGCUCGCAGGAGCACGCGUAAUCAUCACCAAGCUAUCAAGAUGGGACGGCUCGAGGCCAUGCCGUACGGAAGCCUCGAGUAGGUCAGCGCUCCAUGCGGCUAUCGAUCCCUACUCUAACAUCUACGCAUGUACCCUGUGUCUCUCCUUGGAGCUAUAAAAGGAGGGACUCAGGAAUAGAAGAGGGACACCUCAACACAAGAACACACACACACAUACGUAGUAGAGCUACACACUUCAUACCACGCUUGUAUUCGCCCCUGUACAAGCACUUAGGUGCAAGAUAAUACAAACUCCCUCCCCCCGCUGGACGUAGGGCCUUCUCUUGCCCGAACCAGGAUAAAUUUCAGUGUCUUCUUGCAUCACCAUCCGGAAAGGGGAGCACGCAUACAAAUUUACUCGUUGGUGUGACCCCCCGGGGGAAAAAACACCGAUAGUUGGCGCGCCAGGUAGGGGUCCUGCGUGUUUUUCACCAAUUUCCCAUCACUUUCCGGAUGGCUACUCCUGCCUCGCCGCUUCCGCGCUCCACGGUGAUUUGGUUUGGGAGUCUCGAGUUCAUGUCUACGGGCUCCGGCUACGACAUGAUCUUGCUCUCAGUCAAAGGACCAGGAGGAGUCCGCGUUACGCCAGCACGGUUGAAGGCUCCAAGACGCCCUCACCACCACGCCUCCCCGCCUAAGAAGAGGCGCGGGCAGCACCACCGCGGCCCCUCUGCUUCAGCGCGACCAACAACUCGCGCGAGGCAGGAUGUGGGCCACAAGGCAGCGACACCGUGUGACCGAGCAACAACCACGACGACUCAGCACCACGCGACGACGGGGGGAGACGCGUCUCGCACGCCCUCCCCCACCGCAGCUAGGCUACUCCCACACGGGUUGUUCUCCCCAAGGGCGGCACUGCCGUUCGGGUUGGACAACGCCGCGGCGUCGCUCGCCAAGACGAUAUGCCCAAACGCUCAGACGUACGUGGAAAGACCAACGGUCAUCCCACGUAGCUCUGAAGCGCGGCGGCCGACGUCCGAACUGCCGGACCUUUCCCGAAUACGAGGCCUCCGCCGUCUAGGCCCCGGACGAUACUCGAUCACCUCCCUCAGGCAACGAUGGUUGGGGGAAGGACGUGGGUGUUUCCACGCUGUCGAACCGGACUCCGACUCCGAGACAGACAGCUAUGACCCUACGAGGGAAUGCUAUCACCUCGACGGGGCGGCAGAAACCACCGACGAGACACGGGAUGCUGCUGCGGGCGGUCGAGCCCCCGCGGCGCAAGAAGACCCCAGGACGCCUGGGAACGACGGACGGCUCGACCCUCUUCCUCAUGAAGAUAGAACUGCGCAGCUCGCACAGCUGCGGGAGCUCAAGAUGAAGCUCGACGAAGAUCGCGAGCGCCUCGUCCUACUCGAGCAAAUCCUCGAACAAGACCUGCCCUACCCGCCGGGCGGAAGUGUCCGCAGACGCGCUCGAGAGGUACAUCGACAGAUCGUCGGCGACACAGAGGCGGAGCAACCUGUCAGCCGUUUCCCUCGAGCAGGCCAGAAUGUAGUGGCAGCGACGAUGCUACUACGUAACAUGCCAGAACCAUCAAAUUCCCAGGCCCGACGAAUUCGAGAUGAAGUUCAGAUAUUGCUCCAGGUGGCAGCAGUUCAACAAGCCGAAAGUUCGGCAUCUAGACGGCGAGGAGCUGCCACAGAGAAGCGCGACGAACAGCCUCUAAUCGAAGAGGAGGUGUCUGUCCAGCAACAACCUCCCCCUCGAGGUAGAAAGACCGCUCUCAUCCUCCCUGCCGACAAUCAACGUCGACACGACGCGCGACACGACGUCAAAGAAAAUAAACGCCGCCGGCACGGGGACGCGGAAGAACGUGGCUAUAGCGCGCAUCGCGGUGGGAGGUACGACAGCGACGAGGACCGGGUGGCCCCCGAGCCACCGGGCCCGCGGGUGUUCAGCAGGGCGAUUCGCAGCACGCCCCUGCCUAGUCCAUUCCGACCCCCAACCAGCAUCGCGAAGUACAAUGGAGAAACCAAGCCAGAACUAUGGCUGGCCGAUUUCAGGCUGGCGUGUCAGCUAGGUGGCGCUCGGGGGGAUGAUCGAGCCAUCAUCAGACAGCUACCCCUUUUCCUCUCCGACACCGCCCGUCGAUGGCUCGAGGAACUCCCAGCCAAUCAGAUUCACAACUGGGUUGACCUGGUCAGAGUCUUCGAGGGUAACUUCAAAGGGACCUAUAUACGGCCAGGGAACUCGUGGGACCUCAGCAAAUGCAAGCAGAAGUCAGGAGAGACACUUCGGGAGUACGCUCGACGCUUCUCGAAGCAGCGCACUGAGUUGCCACACAUCCCCGACCACGACGUCAUCUUGGCGUUUGUCUCGGGCACCACCAGUCGAGACUUGGUGCGGGAAUUAGGCCGCAAUCGACCUCAGACCGUCGACGAGCUGAUGGACGUAGUAGCUAACUACGCGGCAGGGGAGGAGGCAGUCGGCGCCUUCUUCAGCUCAGAAGGAAGAAAAGGCAAGCAACCCGUCGAUGAAGAUGGGACUUCCAGUCGAGGCCUCAAGAAAAAUAAAAAGAAGCAGAAAGUGCGGCAGUUCCACCAGGGAGAUUCGGGUGACGACCUCGUCGCCACGAUGGAUCGAAAGAAGCCGCGAGGCCCUCCGGAGGGAGGCAUCUUCGAUAAGAUGUUGGAGGAGCCGUGCCCUUACCAUAAGGGAGGCGCCAACCACAAACUCAAGGACUGUCGUAUGCUGAGAAAGCAUUUCGACGGUCAGGGGGUCAAAAAAGAUGUGCGUGAUGACUCCAAGAAGGAGAAGGCUGGCGGCAAGGGGGACAACAAAGAUGAUGACGGCUUCCCCGCCGUCCACGAUUGCUACAUGAUCUAUGGCGGGCCUUCAACUCAGUUGACCGCAAGGCAGCGCAAAAGGGAGCGUCGCGAAGUCUUUACAGCAAGAAUGGCGGUGCCCCAGUACCUUAGCUGGUCGAGCACUCCCAUCACUUUCGACCGAGAAGACCACCCUGACAAGGUGGUCGCCCCAGGCGUCUACCCGCUCGUCGUCGACCCCAUCAUCAUCAACACCCGACUCUCGAAAGUGCUGAUGGAUGGUGGCAGCAGCCUCAACAUCAUCUACCUCGAGACCCUCGACCUCCUCGGCAUCGAUAGAGGACGCCUCCAGCCAAGCGCCGGCGGUUUCCACGGCGUCGUACCCGGGAAAAAGGCACUGCGAGUAGGUCGAAUCGACCUACCGGUUUGCUUCGGCACGGCGGCCAACUUCAGGAAGGAGACCCUCACUUUUGAGGUGGUUGGGUUCCGAGGCACGUACCACGCCAUCAUCGGGCGCCCGGGCUACGCCAAGUUCAUGGCUAUACCCAACUACACAUACUUGAAGCUGAAAAUGCCUGGUCCCAAAGGCGUCAUCACCGUCAGUUCCUCCUUCGAGCACGCGUACGAGUGCGACGUCGAGUGCGUCGAGUACGGGGAGGCGGUCGAGAGCUCCACCGAGCUCGUAGCGAAGCUCGAAGCUAUGGCCGCUGAGGCUCCAGAACCUAAACGUCAUGCGGGCAGCUUCGAGGCGGCGGAAGGAACUAAGAAGAUCCCGCUCGACCCCAACAACUCCGACGGCAAGGUGCUGACGAUCAGCACCGACCUCGACCCCAAAUAGGAAGCCGUGCUCGUCGACUUUCUCCGUGCGAAUGCUGAUAUGUUUGCAUGGAGUCCCUCGGAUAUGCCGGGCAUACCAAGGGAAGUCGCCGAGCACUCCUUGGAGAUUCGAGCCGGUUCCAAGCCAGUGAAGCAGCGGUUGCGCCGAUUCGACGAGGAAAAGCGCAAGAUCAUUGGCGAGGAAGUCCACAAGCUUUUGACGACCGGAUUCAUCAAGGAGGUUCAUCAUCCUGACUGGUUAGCGAACCCUGUAUUAGUUAAGAAAAAGAAUGGGAAAAUGAGGAUGUGUGUCGAUUAUACUAGUUUGAAUAAAGCAUGUCCGAAAGUUCCCUUUCCAUUGCCACGCAUUGAUCAGAUUGUCGAUUCUACCGCGGGAUGUGAAACCCUUUCUUUCCUUGAUGCUUAUUCCGGUUACCAUCAAAUAAAAAUGAAGGAGUCCGACCAGCUCGCGACCUCUUUCAUCACGCCUUUUGGGAUGUAUUGCUAUGUGACCAUGCCAUUCGGGCUUCGAAACGCCGGAGCCACGUAUCAACGUUGCAUGCUCCACGUUUUCGGCAAACACAUAGGCUCAACGGUCGAGGCCUACGUCGACGACAUUGUCGUCAAGUCAAAGCAACGAGGAGACCUGAUCCAGGACCUCGAGGUUGCCUUCAGCUGCUUACGCACCAGCCGGAUCAAGCUUAAUCCCGAGAAGUGCGUUUUCGGCGUGCCUCGAGGCAUGCUCUUAGGAUACAUUGUUUCACAGCGCGGUAUCGAGGCCAACCCCGAGAAAGUCUCGGCCAUCACGAAAAUGGGGCCAAAUCCGAGACAUCAAGGGUGUCCAGAGAGUCACGGGGUGCCUGGCGGCUCUGAGCCGUUUCAUCUCGAGACUAGGAGAAAAGGCAUUACCAUUAUAUCGACUCCUGAAGAAGGUCGAGCGCUUUUCUUGGACCCCCGAGGCCGAGGAAGCACUCGAAAAACUGAAAAAGACGCUGACCUCGGCACCAGUCCUGGUUCCACCUCAACCUGCGGAGCCGCUACUCCUCUACGUCGCGUCGACGACCCAGGUCGUCAGCACGGCGGUGGUGGUCGAAAGACAAGAGGAGGGUCACGCGCUGCCGGUCCAAAGGCCAGUCUAUUUCGUCAGCGAGGUGCUCUCGGAGACCAAGGCGCGUUACCCCCAAAUCCAGAAGCUGAUCUACGCCGUGAUCCUUGCCCGCCGCAAACUGCAACAUUACUUCCUUGGUCAUCCUAUCACGGUGGUCUCUUCUUUCCCCUUGGGCGAGAUAAUCCAGAGCAAGGAGGCCACGGGAAGAAUAGCUAAGUGGUCGGUCGAGCUCAUGAGCGAGACUCUCACUUACGCGCCUCGGAAGGCCAUCAAAUCGCAAGCCCUGGUAGACUUCGUCGCGGAAUGGACGGACUCCCAGCUACCCCCAACUCAGGUCCAGGCGGAGCUGUGGACAAUGUAUUUCGACGGGUCACUCAUGAAAACUGGGGCCGGGGCCGGCCUACUAUUCAUCUCACCCUUGGGCGUCCACAUGAGGUACAUAAUCAGGAUUCAUUUCGCCGCAUCUAACAAUGUCGCAGAAUAUGAGGCCCUCGUCAACGGUCUCAAGAUCGCUAUCGAGUUAGGAGUCCGACGCCUCGACGUCCGAGGCGACUCCCAACUCGUCAUCGACCAGGUAAUGAAAGCCUCGAGUUGCCAUGACCCAAAAAUGGAAGCAUACUGCAAGGAGGUGCGUCGACUCGAAGACAAAUUCCACGGCCUCGAGCUUGUCCAUGUCGCUCGACGCUACAACGAGGCAGCCGACGAACUCGCCAAGAUUGCAUCUACCAGAGGCACAGUGCCGCCUGAUGCAUUCUCAAAGGAUCUUCACGAGCCAUCCGUCGACCUAGGCACGGGGGCUGGCGUCGACACCACCAUCGCCCAACCGACCAAUGCUGUCGAUGCGCUCUUGAUGGAGGAAGAGGUGAUGGAAAUAGAACGACGACCGGUUAGACCAUUCGAUUGGCGCACACCAUUCCUCGAUUGCCUUAUCCGCGGUGAGUUGCCAGAAGACAGGACAGAGGCUCGUCGUAUCGCUCGACGGGCUAAAUCAUAUGUGAUCUAUGGCGAAGACAACGAGCUAUAUCGACGGAGCUCGACGGGGGUCUUACAACGUUGCAUCACCGUAGAGGAAGGCCGAAAACUCCUCGACGACCUACACUCGGGGGCUUGUGGCCACCACGCCGCCCCGCGGACCCUUGUAGGAAACGCUUUUCGGCAAGGCUUUUACUGGCCAACGGCCGUGGCGGAUGCCAUCGAGCUCGUACGCUCGUGUCAUGGGUGCCAAUUCUACGCCAAACAGACGCACCUGCCCGCCCACGCUCUUCAGAUGAUCCCCAUCACCUGGCCGUUUGCGGUGUGGGGGCUCGAUUUAGUAGGACCUCUACAAAAGGCGAAAGGAGGGUAUACCCAUUUGCUGGUGGCUAUCGACAAGUUCUCCAAAUGGAUCGAGGCUCGACCCAUCACCAACAUCCGCUCCGAGCAGGCCGUCCUUUUCUUCUCCGACAUCAUCCAUCGGUUUGGGAUCCCCAAUGUCAUCAUCACCGACAACGGCACCCAGUUCACUGGCAGAAAGUUCUUGGAUUUCUGCGAUCAGCAUCACAUCCGUGUGAACUGGUCCGCAGUAGCCCACCCUCGAACUAACGGCCAAGUCGAGCGUGCCAACGGCAUGAUUUUGCAAGGACUCAAGCCAAGGAUCUACAAUCGAUUGAAGAAAUUCGGCAAGAGAUGGGUCGAGGAGCUUUCCUCGGUCCUAUGGAGCCUAAGGACAACGCCGAGCAGGGCCACCAAAUACACCCCGUUCUUCAUGGUCUACGGCUCUGAGGCUAUCCUCCCCACAGACCUCGAGUAUGGGUCACCUCGACUCAAGGCUUACAACGAGCAAUCGAACAAAGAAGCUCAAGAAAACGCGGUCGACCAACUCGAGGAGGCUCGAGACAUGGCCCUCCUCAACUCUGCUAGAUAUCAGCAGAGACUCCGACGCUACCACGACAAGCACGUGCGCAAGAGGGACCUCAACGUAGGCGACCUUGUCCUACGACGCCGGCAAAGCAACCAAGGACGCCACAAGCUAACCCCACCUUGGGAAGGCCCGUAUGUGGUGGCCGAGGUCCUUAAGCCAGGAACGUACAAAUUGGCGGACGAAAAGGGGGCAGUCUUCACCAACGCAUGGAACAUCGAACAGCUACGUCGGUUCUACCCCUAGAAGUCCUAGAUUUACGAUCCUACUUUUUGUACGAAGACUUUGUAGAUGAACGCAUGAAUAAAUAAAGUCUUUCCCUCGAGCAGUUUCUUUCUAUACCAAAAAUAGUUACGAGUUAUAGUCUCGACGUCAAAAGGGGAUGCCGACCAUGACCCAUCAUAGUCCGCACCCCCUCGGGGGCUACCAGAGGGACGACCCCUCCCCAAGCCUCGAAAAGGCCAAAAAGUUUCUCUCUUUCCUAUUUAGUAAACCUUGAACGAUCGAGUAGUCGAGGCGCCUCAAGCCCCUCGAGGACCGAAGGAUAGCGAGCCUGAGAACACCUACGCCCCCGGGCUAUGGAAACUCUACUCACUCCCUCACCCUCGAGGCGAUCGAAGCUGUCUUUUACGAAAAAUCGAACAAGGAACACAUGUGUAGGCGCAAAAAGAAAUAAAAGAACCUCGAGUGGAAAGAUAAACAAACAUUUAACAACCACAAAAAUACUGUAUCGCUUAAAAACAGGAUUAACAGAGUUUUAUACAAGGGGCCCCAGGCACCCCGAGCAGGCUCGCAGGCCUCAGUCCAUGGUACGAUCCUCGCCACCCUCACCUCCGCCCGAGUUAGCCUCAGGAGGGAGCACCUCAGGCUCGAAGAGCUUGGCCAACCUUUCUCCAGGAGCCUCCGCGUCGUCGAUCAAGGCAUGGAGUCUCUCCUCGUUCUCCGCGUCGGUCUUGGAGAUGUCGGUGACGAAGCCAUGAGACACCACCUCCAUGUCGUAGGAGAAGCCCGAGCAGACAACCGCCAUCGCCCGCUUCACCCCGAUGUGGAGGGCAUCCCGCACCCGAUCUCGCAGCGCUGCGCCUAUGUAGCACAACUGGUCGAUCAGGGCGUCGCCUCGGGCGUCCUCCCUCGACUCAUCCAUAGGCUCGACCUUCCAAGAGGUCGAGAGAUCGCUUAUCGCCGUCCGCACUCGACGGUUCAAAGCAACCUCAGCCUCGAGUUGAGCCUUGGCGUUGCGAGCCUCGGCUUGGGCGGCCAGGAGUUCGUCCUUGAGCCCUACAAAUGCCAACACAAAGAAGCUUUAGGAAAAGCUCAAGCACACCUCGAAAAGAAAAUUCGACGAAGGGAACAUACCUUUGAUGCUCUCCUCUAGAGCCGUGUUCUCGCCAACCAAUCUGGUGUUGGCACGCUCGAUCUCUCUGUUGGAGCGCGCCAGCUCAGUAUUGGCGACGCGGAGAUCUUCGAUCACCCUGCCAGCCUGAGCGACGGCUCCACUCUUCUCCAGCAGUUCUCCCUUCAGACGCUCAACGUCGUCAGAGAGACUGCGGGAUCGAGCUCGCUCCAUCUCGAGGUCUUCGAGGGCUUUCUUCUUUGGGUCCUCGGCGGCACCCCUGGCGACCUCAUUGUCCACGUACGCCACCUUCAUCUUCUGGAAGGUAUCGCGGAGGGAGUCCAGGUCGGUUUGGAGAAGGACCUUCUCCUUGUCCAGGUCCGUGAUGAUGCUCUUGUGGGACAGGACCUCCUCCCGGGCUCUGGACGCGGCCUCCUCGACCGUAAGAGCCCGCUCCCGUAGCCGCACCGCCUCCUCCUCCGCCUUCUUCGAGACCUCUCGGGCUUCGGCCAAAGCAGCCUCCCUCACCUUCUUCUCCUCCUCGAGUGCUAUAAGAUCUUUGUAAGCUUUAAGCAGCUUUUCCUGCGACUCGAGGAGUUGAUCCUUGAGGAGGGGAAGCUGCUCCCAUCCGCCCCUCGUGGCAUGUAUGAAGCUAGACUUGAUGCGAGAGGUCUCUUUCAUAUCCUGCGAAUCGGGGGUCAGGGGGAUUAGAACACAGAAACCCAAAAGCACCACCAAGAUUGGAGCUCGAGAAACACUUACAAAAUAAGCUGGCCCAAGCCCGUUGUUGAUGACGUCCGAUAGGAGCCCCACCACGUGUUUCAUCCAAAGGCAGAGCUCCUCGACGUGCUCCCACUUCUCGACCUCCUUCUUGUCGUCGAGGAAGAUAUUGGGCUCGGACGGGUCGCUGGAAGCUCGGAUACGAAUCCGAUCGGGACACCAGUUCUCCAUCUCCCGAUCGGCCCGCACCUUGACGCCGCGGAGAAAGUUCUCGACGGUCUCGAGGGAACCCCCGUGGCGCAAGAACAGGUCAGCGAGGCAAGGGAACCGCCCGUCGUCAUCCACCGUCUUCCAUGUACCGUCCUUGCUCCCAGACGUCCCGAUCUCGUCCUCCUCUGAGGGAAAGCGGUCCUCCCACGCUCGACGCUCCCGGAGGAACCCUGGGGCGAUCCCAUCCAUGCCGUAGAGUGUCCUCUUGAUCUCGGACUCGGGGUCGGUGGGGGUGCGCAUCAUGCAGGCGAGCGCCACCACUCCGUCCGCUCGCCCCGACUCUGCCCGAAUCGCGGCAGGCGCCCCCGGGAGGAGCCAAGCUGGGGUGGGAGGCCCGUACACCGGCAAAUCUUCCUCUUGAUCGCCGGGCUCUUGCGACGCCAGCGGCGCCGGUUCGGCCAAAAUUUGAGGCGGGGGCUCGAGUGGCUCGUUCUCUUGGCCCCCCAGCUGCUGUUGCUGCCCUAGCUGCUGCUGCUGCUCCUCCUGCUGAUGCUGCAGUUGCUCCUCCGGCUGGGGUCGCUGCUGCUGCUGCUCCAGUGACGGCUGCGUCGCCUCGCGCUCCCGCCCCUCCUCCUCCACCAUCUUCCUUUGCGCCUCGAGGGCUCGAAGGCCUGUGGGCCAGGGAGUCCGUCCUGCGACGUUGGGAGUCGACGCCUCUUCCUCCAUGGGUCGAGCGCCCCCAGACGCUUCGUUGCCAUCAGACGUAUCGCUGAUGGUGAUGGGUUCCCCCUCGACCCCCAAUCGAGAGGGCUCAGGGGCUCCCUCUGACGCUCGCGUCUGGGGGGCCGCAUCAUGAGUCGGUGGCGGCGGAGUAGGCGCGGGACGAGGCGAAGCCAUCUCGACGCCGGCUGAAGGUUGGGUGCUUGACGGGCCUACAAAACAAAGGGUGAGGGUCAGACGUUAUGAUGACCGACGUAAGAAUAUCGCGACACCCAGGAAUUAACUACGAACCUGGUUCCGUGGAGGCGGCACCCGUUCUGAGCCUCUUGGCCAUCGAUGGUUGGGCCUGCUCGAGGGUCCGUUUCAGCCUGAGAAAAAGUCGGCAUGUGAGGAAGGGUGAAAGAAUGGGGGGACAAAGACCGCAACAACAAAAGGGCUUACCCCACGGGCAGAACGGCUCGCCUUCCGCCUACCCGACCAGCGGGCCUCGAACCACCCCGCGUCGGGGCGCUAGGCCCCUCGGGGGCAGAAACUGGCCUAGGUACGUCGGUCCCCGCCUGGCGGGCGCCGGGACUCGUGCUCCUACGACCGGCGUCCCCUUUCUCAGAGGCCGCAGCGCGACCGCGAGUUAGCGGCCCCGACGCCUGGGACCUAGCCGGACCGCUCUCCCUGGGCGCCAUGGGAGGGCGCGGUGCGUCUUGGCCCGCCUUGAGCGCGGAAGGAGCGUUGGGCCGGGGACGACGAGAUCCGCUCGGACCCUCCUCCGGCGCCUCCGUCCGGGGGGCGUCGACGUCACCUCGAGGCGGGCCCUCGAGGAUCCGAUCAAGGCGCGACGCCAUCCCCUCGGAGUCGUCGCUACUCUCGUCGUCGUCAUCGUCAUCGUUGGGGGAUUCUUCCUCAGGUUCCCCCCUCUGCCUGGAUUUGGCUCGACGCGCCUCUAAUGCUUGGCGGUCGAGGUUCUUCUUCUUCUCCCCCUUCUUUGCGGAGUCCUUGGCAGACUUCAGCUUCUCGGCGGAUUGGCGCCGCUUGUCGCGAUCGGCCUCGUCCUCCUUUACCGGAGGCCUCGAGGACCGGACAUCAAUUCGACCCUGCCAAAACUAAGGUAGACUUAGAAGAAAAGAGAGGGAAUAAAGAGAAACCCAGAAUCGAGGAUGCGCGUAAGAAGAAAGCGUACCAGAUCAAUCGAGCCUGCGUCAGGCCUCAUGGGGAAGCCGUUGACAUGCUCCGGCUUAAAAUCACUGGCAAUUGCGGCCCUGACUCGGGCCGCGACUUCAUCGUCCGCCGAAGGCUCGCUGGACAUCCGACAUGCCUCGAGGUCCCGAGACGAGACGCCAGGGCCCAUCUCGUCCAUCCUCAGCGGUCGUGACAUCAGAGGGAGAACUCUCCAAUGAUGGACGGCCGAGAGGACAAGGGCGGCGGUCAAACCUUCCUGGCGAAGCUUCUUCAGGGCGUCGAGGAGAGGGUCGAGCCGAGGCUGAUGAGCUUGGACGACGCCGUAAGUCCAGUCCGCCGGGCGCUCCAAGAUCAGACGGCCCGAGUAGGAAGGAAGGAGGUUGUCGUCGUUCCGCAGGUAGAACCAUUGGGAGUCCCAACCGGCGUGGUUGGUCGACAACCCUACCGGGAUGUACUCCCGCGGCCGGUCCGUCUUCCCCGUCUUCUGCACCAGAUUGAGGCAACCCGCCCGCACGGGUUUCCUCACGCCCGUGGUUCCGGUGGAGGCGUGAAACAGCUCGCCCCUGUAGAGGUGGAGCCACAGCUCCCAGUGCGGCAUCAUCCCUAGGAAGCCCUCACACACGGCGGCGAAGACCGCCGCCACGGUGAUGGCGUUCGGAGAGAAGUGCUGCAGCUCCACCCCAUAAUGGAAGCAGAGGGCCCGCAUGAAGCGGCUUGGAGGCGGGCCCAGACCGUGGCGGUGAAACUUGGCGAACGACACCACGUAGCCCUCGGGUGGCUGAGGCGCCCUGUGGCUCGCUGGCGGCGCGAUCCACUCUAGCGACGACAGCGAGGUGCGGCGGCGCAGCAGUCCCUCCUUCUCGAGCUCUAACAGCCGGCGCUCCGUCAUCGACGACGGGCGCCAGUCAUCGGCGGCGACGAGUCUUACAGGCAUCUCGGCUAACGGGGCGGUGGGUUCGCUACGGCUCGAGGGGGCGUGUGCGCGUGAGAUGACGAGAAAGCAAAGGCAGCAAAGGAACGAGAGCGAGAAGGCGGAAGGGAGAGGAACGGCGGUGACGCGACGACAUAUUUAUAGGCAGCUGUCCGCCAACGGACAGAUCCGAGAAGUAAGGUAACUCCCCCCAUAAAUGCGCCGCCUGACAGCUCUCUCUCUCCUCACAGGCCGGACUCUCCGAAUUCCUCGCCGAUACGGUAUCGUAACGUCAUCCGCCUAAAAAGACGCGCCCAACGGACAGAAAGGCGAACCGCCACGACCAUUUCCUUCCCUCGUAAGCCAAGGGACAUAACCGCAAAAGUCUCGAGAGGUCGAUGGCUGGCCCGCCGAAAGGGUUCGACAGCCGAUCUCGAGCGCCAGAGUCAGGGAUCCCCAGCGAGCGGUCGAAGAUCGAGGCCCGCCUCGAGGACUCGCUGGUGAUGUUCAAGGUAGGGUCGAGACAGUCGAGAGGAAUCCCCCCGAAGGGAGGCAUCGAGCCGCUGGACUCUAUCGAAUGAGACCAGUAUCCCCGACCACGUCGACCCUGCUUUAUGAGGACGCCUCCGGGCUACAGCUGACCCCCUCGAAAGGGGCACAGGUUCUCACUUGGACUACCCGCUAGGAACUCAAUUUGGGAUGAAAGACGCUCGCUCUAUCGAGAGUACGUCGAAACCCACGGGCAAAAACGAGCCAGUCAGAACCUUCCACCACUGGUGUCGAAAGCGUUUCUGCGAAUUAGAUAACAUAACCCCCGAAGGAGUCAAAAACUCCUCCGAGGGCUCGGGGGCUACCCCGCGGGGUCACUCGCGCGCCCCCACGAAAAUUCGACCGUAAAUCAAAACCUCCAUUCGAGCGCUAGCGCUCAAAUGAAGGCUCGGGGGCUACUGUCGAGGGUAUCGGUAAGGGGUACCCUCAGCAAUGCACAUUAUGAGAUUGCCCGUACGAAGGUCGAGACCCUUAAUUCGACGCUCUAAUCUUACGUAUGCGCCGCCAUCGACAGUCGCAGCCUCGAAGACGGAAAUAGUCUCGAGCGAAUCGGUUCAGGACUCGAACGACGACUGCUGUCGAUGACGGGAGCGGGCUCGAGCGAACCAAGAGCUGUCGGGCGCGAGGACACUGUCCGCCGCCCGACGCGCGCACGCGAGCCGGAGCAUUAAAUGCACCUGACGCUUCCCCACCUAACACACAGGUCAUGGGAGGCGUGAUAGGGAGCAAGCUUCUGUCCCAUCGUUCUUUUUGCAGCCUUCCCACCGAACGACCCAGGGCGCGUCAGGACGCGGGAAACAAGGAUGGAACGUCUAAUCGGGACCCCCUCGAGACGCCCAAGGUCAGCGCUCCAGAUAUCAGAAUAUUACGCGGCGCCCGAUCCUCGACCGAACAAGGUCCCUUCCCAGGGACAAGUCGGGCGUCGACUGACAACACCACAGCUGCUCCGCCGGAUCCGCCACCAUACCAUACGAGCAUGCGACCUCAGAACCAGCACAAGGCGGCUGGCAGGGCAGCUCGCAGGAGCACGCGUAAUCAUCACCAAGCUAUCAAGAUGGGACGGCUCGAGGCCAUGCCGUACGGAAGCCUCGAGUAGGUCAGCGCUCCAUGCGGCUAUCGAUCCCUACUCUAACAUCUACGCAUGUACCCUGUGUCUCUCCUUGGAGCUAUAAAAGGAGGGACUCAGGAAUAGAAGAGGGACACCUCAACACAAGAACACACACACACAUACGUAGUAGAGCUACACACUUCAUACCACGCUUGUAUUCGCCCCUGUACAAGCACUUAGGUGCAAGAUAAUACAAACUCCCUCCCCCCGCUGGACGUAGGGCCUUCUCUUGCCCGAACCAGGAUAAAUUUCAGUGUCUUCUUGCAUCACCAUCCGGAAAGGGGAGCACGCAUACAAAUUUACUCGUUGGUGUGACCCCCCGGGGGAAAAAACACCGACAUUAUUUGUUCCUGUUGACUCCAUUUUUGGGCACGUGUCUAGGAUGGCAGGAUAGGGUGGCAGUACGAUGCGGGUUGCUGAUGAGGAUGGUUGCCGAUAAAGGAGAGGUUGAAUGUAACUAAGUCCACAGGCAGUAAUAUGGUGCCGAUGGCUGGAUAAAAAGGUCUGCCGAUGACUAUGGCAAGGGGAUUGCCGAUGAUGCGAAGGAGGAGUCCGGAAGCUGCCAGUUGUCAUGUGGAGGAGUUUCGGUUUGUUACGAAGGAUAGUUUUAUUAUUUCCUUAAUUAUUUGCAUCGUUUUGUAUACGGAUUCCGUGUAAUUUGGAAUUCGAAUUCUAAUCGUGUCUGGUUGUAGUUCUUUGAGCAGGGUAUAAAUAUAAACCCUAGGACCUUGUAAAAAAUAUCAAGAAAUCAAUCAAACACACGUUUUUACUCAUAAUCCAGCAUCUACUUUUCGACGACUUCGUCAUACUUUUUUCUUUUUAUUACGAGUUCUUAGGAAUUCGUCGACUUAAGCUCGGCGUGUUCUCGAGUUCUGCGUGAGUACCUCUUAGCCGUGACAUCCGGGCGCAUCGCUGUUGUCAGGACUAAAGUAUUCGAGUUAUCACCUUUGCCGAUAGCAAGGUCAAAUCGGCUGGCACGCCUUAACGUUUGAAUCGGGUAUUAGCCCUUUGUGUUUGCAGAUCAGUUUUGCAUCAACACAUCUUUUGGCACGCCCGGUGGGACAGAUUCAAGAUCAAGAUCAACAUGUCGAUCUCUGACCUCGAUCAAGAGAACGUCAUCCCCGUGACGGAGGCCAACCUCAAGGAUGAGCAAAAGCAAGCUAUUGCCCAAGCCAUGGAAGAGUUCAAGCAGCAAUGCCUGAGGUCUUUCAGCAUAAACAGGAGCGGCGAAGUGGUCCAGAAAGAUGCACUGCCGGCACCACGGCAGGUCACCUUUGACGCCAAUCCUGGCAAGCUUCAAGAUAUGGUUGACAAUGCCAUCAAUCGAGCGUUGAUUAACCAAGCUGGUGUACUGUCUAAUACGGUUUUCAACGCCGUGGCAAGAACUUUCAAGGAAGGACAAAUCCCGCCAGAUUAUGUGGGGCCCUCCCAUCAUCAGCCAACGGCACCAGAGGUCACGGCUCCAUCGGCUGCCUUGACGAAUGCAAGUGCACAGUCUGCCGUCCCUCCAAGUACAUUGGGGACUACUGGUGCACUAUCUAUGCCGAUGGCAACCAACCCACAAAUUUCAGUUGGGCAGCAUAAACUGACAACAUAUAUGUUGGCAUCGGCAAUGUCAGGGUUAACUCUUCCUCCCAACUGGUGGGGUUAUGGUAUGCCUCCAGAGUUGACGCCGGGAACAUCACAAAUAACUGACAUGAGGGGCAAAACUCCUAUGACAUCGGCACCUCCCAAUGCGCCGGUGAACCAGAGUCCUCGGUAUACCACAACUACUACUGCAAGGCCUCACACUGGGAAUCCUCAAGAUUCAAUGUUUCAGAUGCCCAACGCAUCGGCAGAGUCAAUGCUGACGCAACAGAGGCCUAUGGCCCAGACGGGGUAUGUCAAUUCAACGACGGUACCCAAUUACCAAUCAUCGGCAGCACCUAUGCCGAUGAACGCUAACAAUGGAUGGCUUGGACAGCAAGCCUUUCCACAAUCGCCCCAGCAGGGUUAUCAGACUACAGGGUUCCAGCAAGGGCAGGUCUAUCCCGGGUUCCAAGGUCAGGGGAUUCCCAACCAGCCAAUAAAUUUUGGACAGCAACUCGGAGGACAGCCAAUCGGUGGACAACAGUUUGGUAGUCCGCAGAUUGGAGGACAGGUGACCAAUACAAUGUUCCAUGCAGGUCACGUCCCGAACAGACACGUGGAGGUUCGCCACCAAGUGCCAGAUCCGCAGCCGCCUCAUCGGCAAGAUGCCGAUGCGUAUUGGGCCGAUAAGAUUGCUGAAGUAAUGAGGGAACAAUUUGGGAUAAAACCCAAAGUCAACACUUACUCUUAUCGGACACUGUAUCCUCCAGCGUAUGAUUUGAUCCCGCUUCCACAUCGGUACAAGGUACCGGAUUUUACAAAGUUUUCCGGACAGGACGACACGUCAACCAUGGAGCAUGUCAACAGGUUCAUUAUUCAAUGUGGAGAGGCUGGUAACAGGGACGAAUUGAGGGUUCGUCUAUUUUCAUCAUCAUUGUCUGGAUCGGCCUUUACUUGGUUCAUAUCAUUACCUCCCAACUCAGUAAUUACUUGGGCCGAUCUAGAGAAGCAAUUCCACAGAUACUUCUUCUCGGGGGUUCAUGAGAAGAAGAUCACCGACUUGGUCAAGUUGAGGCAACGUAAUGAUGAGUCGGUUGAGGGAUUUGUGCAGAGGAUACGAGAGGUCAAGAAUAAAUGCUAUAGCCUGGUUCUAGAUGAUCGGCAGCUAGCCGAUUUGGCUUUCCAGGGUUUGUUGCCACAUAUUAGGGAUAAGUAUGCCUCUCAGGAGUUCGAAAGUUUAAGUCAUUUGGUGCAGAGGAUAUCUGAUCAAGACAUCAAGCCUUUCGAGCCUAAGAGGGCAUGGAAUAAGAAAGUGUCAUUUGUUGAUGAAGCAACAAGCUCAGAUUCCGAUGAGGAACCAGUAAUCGGUUUGGCAGAGUGGGUAAAAAACAAGAAGCCGAUGUCUUGUCCUUUUGGGCAGAAGGAACCAGAGAAGUUUGCCUUUGACACCGCCAAGGCCGAUAGGAUAUUUGACUUUCUACUUCAGGAAGGUCAAAUCAAACUGUCACCUAACCAUGUGAUCCCAUCGGCAGAAGAGUUGAAGAGGAUGAGAUAUUGCAAGUGGCAUAAUGCAACUUCACAUGACACCAACGAGUGCAAAGUAUUCAGACAGCAGCUGCAAUCGGCUAUAGAGUCCGGGAGAAUCAAGUUUGACAGUUCCAAAGCCCAGAAGCCGAUGAAGAUAGACCAACAUCCUUUCCCGACAAACAUGUUGGAUGCUAAGGGGAAGGCUAAGGUCUUAACGUCGGAGACAGCUGAGAAGAGUGCAUCGGUAGAUCCUCAGCAUCAAGUUACUACUGCCGAUGCAAGAAGUAAGGGCUUAGUCCAGGAAGGAACUAGCUCAGGAAGGCUUCCUCGAUCUGGCAUCGUCAUAACUCAUAGGAGGCCUCGAGAAAAAUGGCAACAACGGGAAGAUCGGUAUCGGCGCCAGCAGGAAGAUUAUCAACGGGAAGAAGAAAGACGCCGACAGGAGUGGAAUCGGCACAGGGAUCAUUGGAAUUGCCCAUUUUUCAUCCAUUGUUGGGAGGAAAAUAUCAAGCUUCCUACUGUCAGAGAUUGCCCUGAAUGCAACGGUUAUGAUCGGUACGAUAGGAACGAUCGGCGUUAUCAUGAUGAUGAACGGCGAGCUAAUGGGCCGAUCAGAGGAAGGGUGUCAGUUCAUGACCGGCUGGGGGGCAGAUUCAGUGGGCACAACAGGCUUAGUAACCGUGUCCAGUAUUUUCCCAGGAAUCAAGAGGAGCUCGAAGGAAUGGCUGAUGCGCGGGUUCCCGAUGAAUUCAUAUUUUGCAGGGAUGCUAACACACAUCGCAUGGAGUCAAGGGAGAACCGGCGCCCGACGGCAAGGCAAAGGCCACUUCCUCCAUGGUGCCCUCGAGGAUUAACCAAGACACAGAAAAGGAGAUUGCAACGAGAAAGGCAAGAGGAGCUAAACAAGGGAGAGAGUUCUGGGAGUCGGCAGCCGUCAGACACUAAGAGGGAAGGUCCAUCGGCAGGCGUCAACAUGGUCUUCAUGUUGCCGAUGGAGUUUCUUGCACCAGCCAGUGACGAUGAGUUGGAAUUUUCUGAUCAGAUAGCUCGGUUGGCUCUGGAUCCGAUGACGGCUAUCUUUGAGAAACCUGCCGAUGACGAGAGGCAGCAUCUUAAAGCUUUGUUCCUCAAAGGAAGGGUUGAUGGGCAGCCAAUGACCAAGAUCCUAGUUGAUGGUGGAGCUGCUAUUAAUAUUAUGCCGUAUGCAGUAUAUCGGAAGCUUGGGAAAGGGGAUCAAGAUUUGACCAAGACCGAUAUGAUGCUCAAAGACUUUGAAGGAAACGUGUCUCCAGUCAAGGGGGCGAUAUGUGCAGAGUUGACCAUCGGCAGCAAAACCUUGCCGACAACUUUUUUCGUGAUCAGUGGAAAAGGUGCCUACAAUUUAUUAUUGGGGAGAGAUUGGAUUCAUGCCAAUUGUUGUGUCCCAUCUACAAUGCAUCAGUGCUUGGUUCAGUGGGUAGGUGACAAGAUUGAGAUCGUCCCAGGAGAUUCUUCUUAUGUUAUCGCAUCGGCAGAAGCGGAUACUUACGAAAGGACCAGGUGCAUUUCAGGAGAAGUUUGGGAGAAAGAUUUUCUCAAAGUUGCCGAUUAUGAGAUUCCACCGAUCCAAGCAGUCGGUUCUGACGACGGUUUUUAAUGGAUAGAUUCGCCGAUGAUGGAAAAUUAGGCCAGGGAUUCACAUCGGCCGAUGAUUUGGUAGAAGUAGAUAUAGGUAGUGGUGAUAAGCCUAGGCCUACUUUUAUUAGUGCUAAAUUAGAUCCUGAGUGUAAGCGACAAUUGACUAGUUUGUUAAAGGAAUAUAAAGAUUGCUUUGCUUGGGAUUAUACAGAGAUGCCUGGUUUAGACCGAUCAAUUGUCGAGCAUCGGUUACCCAUCAAGUCUGGAUUUCGGCCACAUCAGCAACCAGCCCGCCGAUGUAAUCCUAACAUUCUACCUGAUAUUAAGGCCGAAAUCACUAAACUUAUUGAAGCUAAGUUUAUUCGGCAGUGUCGGUAUGCCGAAUGGAUUUCCAAUGUUGUUCCGGUUUACAAGAAGAACGGGAAGCUUCGGGUGUGCAUUGAUUUCAGGAAUCUCAAUAAAGCUACACCGAUGGAUGGAUACCCAAUGCCUGUCGCCGAUCUACUGGUUGAUGCUGCGGCUGGCCAUCGGGUCAUCAGCUUCAUGGAUGGUAAUGCAGGUUACAAUCAAAUAUUCAUGGCAGAGGAGGAUAUUCCAAAAACCGCAUUCAGGUGCCCUGGUCAUGUUGGACUAUUUGAAUGGAUAGUCAUGACUUUUGGGUUAAAGAAUGCUGGUGCUACUUAUCAAAGGGCUAUGAAUUUUAUAUUUCAUGAGUUCAUCGGCAAGCUCGUGGAGAUUUAUAUUGAUGAUGUGGUGGUUAAGUCUGGAGAUUUCUCAAAGCAUCUUGCCGAUUUACGAAAAGUGUUGGAGUGCACAAGGAAGCAUGGAUUGAAGAUGAAUCCCAACAAGUGUGCAUUUGGCGUAUCGGCAGGGCAGUUUCUUGGUUUCAUGGUACAUCAGAGGGGUAUUGAAAUUAGUCGAAGAUCUAUUGAUGCCAUCAAUAAAAUAGUGGCCCCCACCAAUAAAACCGAGCUCCAAUCCUUGAUCGGCAAGGUGAAUUUUAUCAGAAGAUUUGUAUCGAAUUUAUCUGGGAGGAUUCAUGCUUUCAGUCCUCUUCUUAAAUUGAAAGCCGAUCAAGAGUUUGUUUGGGGAGAAGAACAGCAGUUGGCUCUGGAUGAAAUCAAGAAGUAUCUGGUAAAUCCUAUAGUUUUAGUUCCACCUCAACAAGGGAAGCCCUUCAAAUUGUAUUUAUCUACCGAUGGAUCGGUUAUCGGUUCAGCUUUAGUUCAAGAAUUUGAAGGGAAAGAGAGGGUAAUUUAUUAUUUGAGUAGGAGGUUGAUUGAUGCUGAAACCAGGUAUUCGGCCAUUGAGAAACUGUGCUUAUGCCUAUAUUUUUCAUGUAUCAAGCUGAGACAUUACCUGUUGUCGGCCGAAUGUGCUGUUGUUUGCAAAGACGACGUGGUCCGAUACAUGCUAUCUAUGCCGAUUAUGAGUGGUAGGAUCGGUAAAUGGAUUUUAGCGCUGUCGGAGUUCGAUUUGCGUUACGAAUCGGCUAAGGCAGUCAAAGGGCAGGUUAUGGACGAUUUUGUGACUCAGCAUUGCGGUCUAGUGGAAACCUUGGAAAUUGCACCCUGGACGCUCUUCUUUGAUGGAUCUACCUGUGACCGGGGGGCAGGAAUCGGCAUCGUAUUAGUUUCUCCUAAGGGGAGGAAGUAUGAGUUUUCCUUGCCGAUUGUUGCUACAUCAACAAAUAAUCAGGCUGAGUAUCAAGCUCUGAUCAAGGGAUUGGAGUUGUUAAGAGAAGUUCGUGCUGAUGCUGUUGAAAUAUUCGGGGAUUCUAUGUUGGUUAUAAAUCAAUUGGCCGGAAGCUAUGAAUGCCGAAGUGAAGUUCUCAAAACCUAUUUCGAGAGAAGUAUGCAACUGUUAAAAGAAUUCAAGGACUUCCGAUUGGAGCAUGUUCCCCGAUUGCAUAAUGAAGACGCUAAUCGGUUAGCCCAGCAUGCCUCGGGAUAUCAGCCAAUGAUUAAUGCGACAUCGGCAGUCAGUGCCGGUGAUUGGAGGAAAGAAAUUAUUGAUUAUCUAAAAGAUCCAUCCAAAAAGGUUGAAAGACGGGUUCGAUUUCAGGCAACCAAGUAUGUGCUCCUUGAAGAUGAAUUGUAUUAUCGAACUGUCGACGGAAUUCUUCUCCGAUGCUUGGGUGAUGAUGAAGCCAGAAGUUUGAUGGGGGAAAUCCAUGAAGGAGUGUGUGGAGCGCAUCAGUCAGCUUUUAAGAUGAAGUGGAUGAUUCGAAGGAAUGGAUAUCUUUGGCCAACCAUACUUGAAGAUUGUUUUAAAUAUUUUAAGGGAUGUCAAGGUUGUCAAAAGUUCGGUAAUAUCCAGAAAGCACCCGCAUCGGCUAUGAAUCCUAUAAUAAAACCUUGGCCGUUCCGGGGAUGGGCCAUCGAUCUGAUCGGCCAGAUUUAUCCACCAUCUAGCAAAGGGCAUAAGUUCAUUCUAGUUGCCACUGACUAUUUCACUAAGUGGGUCGAAGCUAUUCCUUUGAAGAAAGUCACAUCGGCCAAUAUGAUUGAUUUUGUGAAGGAGCAUAUUAUUUACCGAUUUGGGAUUCCCCAAACGAUUACUACCGAUCAGGGCACCAUGUUCACGUCGGGGGAGUUCGAUGAAUUUGCAAUCGGUAUGGGAAUUAAAGUGUUGAAUUCUUCUCCUUACUAUGCUCAAGCCAAUGGGCAGGCCGAAGCGUCUAACAAAGGAAUUAUCAAGCUUAUUAAACGAAAGAUUGAAGAAAAUCCUAGGCGGUGGCAUACAUUGUUAAAUGAAGCACUAUGGUCUUAUCGGAUGGCUAGUCAUGGAUCAAUCAAGGUGUCACCCUAUCAAUUGGUGUAUGGACAUGAUGCAGUGUUGCCUUGGGAGAUUAAGGCUGGAUCUAGGCGAUUAUCUUUUCAAGACCAAUUGGCUGCCGAUGAUUAUGCCACUUUGAUGACCGAUGAGUUAGAUGACUUAGCAGGGCAUCGGUUAAAGGCUUUAAUGAGUAUAGAAGAAAAUAAGAAGAGAGUUGCUAGAUGGUAUGAUAAGAAAGUAAAGGCUAAGGAGUUUGCCGAUGGGGAUUUGGUAUGGAAGUUGAUUUUGCCAAUCGGGACUAAAAGUUCGAAGUUUGGAAAGUGGUCUCCUAAUUGGGAAGGUCCUUAUCGGAUAAGACACUCGGCUCCUGGUAAUGCCUAUAUUCUAGAAACUCUCGAAGGAGUUGAAUUUCCCAGAGCAUUAAAUGGCAAAUAUUUAAAGAAGUACUACCCCAGCAUAUGGGUCGAUGCAUGAAAGUUUAAGUGCCGAUAACACUCCUAUCGGCUAGAUUUAAAUGUUUGGGGGCAGACUUAAUGUUUCAAAAGAUGCCGAUAACAGUCUUAUCGGCUAGACUAAAAGCUAAAAGCGGGAAAACAAAGGUGUGUUGCCGAUGAAAGCUUCAGAUGUUCAGCAGCGCUUGGAUUGCCGAUAUGGCGCGCAGCCGGAUCUGAUUGGCUGUCUCCAUCUCUUUGAUAUCAUCAUCGGCAGAACCUUCUAUCGGCUUCAGCUUCCUCUUCAGCUGCAACGCUUUGCGACCGUGGACGUUUCGUUCUUGUUCAAGGUACUUGAUGGUCUCCGGCAGUUGACUCUCUUCUUGCUGGGCUUGGGACAGAGCAUCCUCUACUUGCUUGAGUUCGGCCAAUAGAGCUUCUCUUUUUGCCGAUAGAUCAGAUACUUUCUGCUUCAGUGCAUCACCUGAGGACUUUAAGGUGCCGAUGUUCCUGUGUUUCUCAUCGGCUAAGAGUUUUUCUUUCAUCAUCUCCUCAGAAAGCUGGAUUUGAGCGGCUCUAUCGGCAAGGCGUCGAGCGGCUCUCUGGUACUGUAGCUGGCGGCUUUCUAGGUGUGCAGCAUGGAAGAGGGUUUCUUCAGCAUCGGCAGGAAUUUGACCUCUAAGGGUUUUGAACAGGGCCUUAGCUGGGUCAGAAUCGUUGACCAGUUGAGCUGUGUCUUGAUGAAGUAUGGCCGAUAGCUCCUCCAGCUUAGCCCUGGUUUCUGCCGAUACAGUCCCAAUUGCCCGAGAGGAGCUUGCUUCCUCACCUUCUUCUUCGAAGAUAUCAAUGGCGAAGGAGAAUAAGCUAUCUGGAGAAUCUUGUUCCUGAAAAUGAGAAUGAAAUAAGUCAUUUUUAUGGUCAAAGCUUCGGCAGACGAUGCUGGUGGAAAAAUUGGAUGACUUACUUGUUUCAAGGCAAUUUCUUGCCUUUGACUCAAAGAUACCGAUGGAGCUACAGGUUGAUCGGCAAAUGUUGCCGAUGGAACGAUAUCGCCUGAAAGAAGACAGGAAGGGUUAUGAGACUAAACGAGAAUAAGUUUAUCGGCGGAAGUAUUGUUGAGAUAUGUUACCCGGAGGAGGAACAACAGUUGUCUGAGUCGGGGAAACCGCCGAUGAUAUAAUUGGACCUGCCGGGCCAGUUGUUUGUUCACCCACGUCAGCUGAUGUACCUUCUGUUUGAGGUUCUUCCUGCUAGGGUUCUUCCGUCUGUGGUGCUUCCUGCAUUGGUUGGGGAGAUGGUGCUUGCUGUGUCUGGACUUCUGGAGAAGAAGGGGAAGAUUCCACCGGGAUUGGAGACACCGGAGGAGGAGGGGGAGUUGCCACUUUCUGGCGCUUUGUUCCAGCCUUAGCACCUUGGGUGCCCUUCCUCUUUGGCUGGCUAGACAGGGGGGCAUCGGUACCUUGGCGUUUGGCUUUUGCCGAUGCACCAGUUUGCUGCAACAACAAAAAGGAGUUUAUGAACACAGAUAGCCGAUACAGAGAUAGUCAGCAUAAAUGAAAAGGGUUUGACAAAUUGCCUUGAAAGCUUGCGCCAGAGUGGAAGCAGUCACCGUUGGCGAUGUCUGAGUUUUCCUGGUGGUAACUUUCUUGAGGCGCGCACCCCGAUGCACGAUGGAAGCCAGAGUGGGAGCAUUGUGGCCGACUGAGGAGAUCGGGCCUGAGGGGAACAAGUCGAUCGGCUUGCCACUCCUGCUAACAGAUGGGGGGGUGUUGUCAACCUGCAAAAGAAAUACAGGGGUAAGUUACCGAUGGAAAUAGUAUUGGAAAAUGAGACAUCGGUUUAAAAUACUUAGAGUGUCAUCAGGGACUUCGUAUUCAGGGUCGAUCAUGCCGCGGUAUGAGAGGGCCGAUCUGCAGAAGAGAUUCUCUUUCCAUUCUGCCCACCAUAACUUGUAUGCCUGAGUGAUAAAGGCAGCUGGAACCCAUUCUGACAGAUCUACAUCUGUAUCGGCAUUUGGUGGUAGCUGGGCUACUCGAGUCCACUCGAGAAGAUUGGUGAUGGGUUCUCUGGGCUUUAUCACAUCGGCAUAAGGAAGUGCAAUCGGCAAUUGGCCGAAAGCUAGCUGGCGAGCUAAUGCCGAUGGAUUGUAAAAUUCAUAGGUUUGGGGAGAGGUUUUUGUGCUACCGAAGAAAUUCACUGGUAUGGCUCUGGGAGUCACAAUUGCCAUCAUCACCUCAUUAUCCCUGUCAAGAGCUUCAUCAAAUGGAUUGAAGGUUAGAGGGAGCAUGCUGUCUGGGUCAUCAUAGGCCAACCAUGGUCGUUCAUCUCUGGCCAAUCCCUCAUACAGAGUCUCGAAGAAUCGGCCGAUCUGAUCCGGAUUGUUCCCUGAACCGGGUAAGACUAUAACGGCUUCGCCAAAGUUCAAGGGGGCACGCGUUGCCGAUUCCUCUUCACCCAACACAUGAUUUUCGGCUAUAUCUCUUGGGAAGUGCUGUGAGAACAAGUUGAAAUCAAGGCGCUUAUGCAGGUGCAGAUUGAGCCACAUAUUAAUAAACCACCAGGGGCCUCCCAAGUUGCCGAUGGAUUGGCCAAGCAGGAGUUUCUGGGCUACCUGAUGAAGAAGGUGGUAAACAGCGCUGAGCAAAUAUCGGCCGAGAGGAAAUUGGCCACCGCUAGCCAGUCUUUCUGCUGCCGAUAGAUAGACAGAAGUCGGUCCUGCCGAUCGACCACAGAAUACAAACUUGUCCAGCCACAUGUUCAGAAAGGUGGUUUGCUCCUUUAGGGUGACCGGCCCUCUCCCGCGGUACUUCUGGAUGUACCCUGACCAACCGCCGAUAGCGCGAGUCUCCACUUUGGCACUGGGGGCAGUAUCAAAAAAGUGGGUGCUAUCGGCAGAAGAUAUAUCUAGCCCAGUGAGCAUGGCUACAUCGGCAAGGGUAGGAGAAGCAGGGCCGUGGCCAAAAACAAAAGCAUUGAGAGUGUCUGACCAAAAGUAGGAUGCAGCUAUCAGCAGUGACUCGUUCCUGUGCAUAUCGGCAAUGGAUAGCCUAAUGCAUUGAGCUAGCUUCCUUUCACCCCACUAGACUUCAUAAGAAUUGCUGACCCUCAAGAACCAAUCUUUCCACCCUACAGUAGGGCUGGGCCAAGAGCGAAAGGUGUCUUUCCACAGAUCUAAAGAAAAGUUUUCGGCUCUAAAGGGAAUCCUGUUGGUUUCUGCAUUGAUAAGGUCGGUUGGAUCUGGAUUCCCUAGAGGGCCGAGGCACUGAAGGUGUGGUUGAUCGGUAGGGAUGACAAUUUUGUUGGACAACUCCUAGUGUUUUGGGGAAUAAAAAUACAAAGAAAAAGGAAAAGGAAGAUAUUCAGUAAGAUGAAUCGCAGAUGAACAGGAAUGCGAGAAAAGGUACAGGAGAUGAGAUGGAAGUCUGACCUCAGGGACGACGAAGCCAAUGGCCAUCUUGUCGUGAAGAGGACGUUGGAAGGCACCGGAGUUGAUGAAGAGGAGUGCUUGUCGGAAAUCUUGAGGGUUGUAAAUGGCGCCGCCGCUGGAAAAGCAAAGUUGGAUAGUAGAAUGGUGUAAUGGGGGAGGAGUACCCAAGAAGGAACUAUUUAUAGGACAAGAUGGGCAAGGGCAAAUCCGACUUAUCUCUUUGCCGCAUCCGAGAAGCCCGAGGGUACUCAGGUGGAUAUGGUAACUGUUCGCACGGUAAUCCAGGGAUUGUGCAGGUGAUUUGACGGGAAGCGGUCAUUAUCUAAAGAUAUUUUACUGUGCGAGAUCUCCUGGUCGGUCCAUCGGCGAUAUUCUAUAACGGUCAUCUUGCCGAUGGGCGGAUAGAGGGGAGGUAACCGUUUUUGCGAAUAUCCUGGUCGGAGCAUCGGCAGAUCUUUGUAACGGUAUUGUUGCCGAUGUACGACCAAGAAAGAUGCCCGUUUAGGAAGUUGGGGAUUUCGAGGAAUCUGCGGAGGAUUAGGAUCAGAGUUGUCCAGAUUGAGGUUGUCGGUUACCAGAUUAGGAGCAUUAAUUGCGGAGAAGGCAUCAUUACUGCAGAGAAUUUCGGAGCAUUAAUAGUUUUAUACUCCGAAACUGGGGGGCAUGUGUUGACACCAUUUUUGGGCACGUGUCUAGGAUGGCAGGAUAGGGUGGCAGUACGAUGCGGGUUGCUGAUGAGGAUGGUUGCCGAUAAAGGAGAGGUUGAAUGUGACUAAGUCCACAGGCAGUAAUAUGGUGCCGAUGGCUGGAUAAAAAGGUCUGCCGAUGACUAUGGCAAGGGGAUUGCCGAUGAUGCGAAGGAGGAGUCCGGAAGCUGCCAGUUGUCAUGUGGAGGAGUUUCGGUUUGUUACGAAGGAUAGUUUUAUUAUUUCCUUAAUUAUUUGCAUCGUUUUGUAUACGGAUUCCGUGUAAUUUGGAAUUCGAAUUCUAAUCGUGUCUGGUUGUAGUUCUUUGAGCAGGGUAUAAAUAUAAACCCUAGGACCUUGUAAAAAAUAUCAAGAAAUCAAUCAAACACACGUUUUUACUCAUAUUCCAGCAUCUACUUUUCGACGACUUCGUCAUACUUUUUUCUUUUUAUUACGAGUUCUUAGGAAUUCGUCGACUUAAGCUCGGCGUGUUCUCGAGUUCCGCGUGAGUACCUCUUACCCGUGACAUCCGGGCGCAUCGCUGUUGUCAGGACUAAAGUAUUCGAGUUAUCACCUUUGCCGAUAGCAAGGUCAAAUCGGCUGGCACGCCUUAACGUUUGAAUCGGGUAUUAGCCCUUUGUGUUUGCAGAUCAGUUUUGCAUCAACAGUUCGAACAAGACAAUUACCGGGUAAUAUCAAUUCAAGGAUGGCUAUUCAAUAGGUUUUAACUAAGCAGCGAAAAUACUUCGUACAUAUAUCGUACAUGCAAUAUUUAAAACGGCUUCUACGGGUUGUGUUUAAAAAUAGGAUCAAUAUGCAUCAAAGGGGAUCUGUUGGACUUGCCUCCGUCGGCGUCCUCGGCAAACUCCUGCUGACAGUCCGGGUCCUCGGCGUCAAACUCGCGGUACUCGUUUCCAACGUUCUCGUUUUCCGGCUCGUUCACUCCGUCAGCUAAAAUACGCGACGAACGACACAGACAACAGACACAGAUAAAUAAUCACAUAAAUUUAAAUGAGCUCUAAAAAUCAUGAAAUUAAUAUGGAAGGUAGAUCAUGAUUUUAGAUGAAUUUAGGAAAAAGAAUUAUUAAAAUCAGAGUUAGCAUGUGGCAUUUGUGAAAUGGCCAGAAUUUAAUCAUGAAAAAGGCUAACGAUGAUUAAGGAAUGGAUGCUUCACGUGGACAUUUGUUUGGCUGGUAGUGCAUGUUGCAUGCAUGCAUGUACUAUUUGGAGUUAAUGCUUGGCCCACACAUGCAUGGUUAGAGAGAAAUUAGCAGGGGGUCAUUAGAACUCUUCUAUAUGUCAUGGUUCUAUUCGUGGAGUUCUUGGCAGUGAAUCGGUACAGACAAAUACAUGGAAAAAUACAGGAAAAUACUACAGAAAGACAGAGAAGAACAAGGAGAUGCUCAUGAGCUGCUCACCUCGUCUUGCGACGACAGUCGAGCUCGGCUUGUGCGUAUGGCCGUAUACGGUAUACGCGAAGUGAGAGCGAGUGAGCGAGUGAGUGAACGUGUUUCUCGGGUGGUGAGAGUGAGCACCCGAGGCUGGCUUUUUAUAGGCCAAAGCGCUCAGCUGCGUGCCAUUAAAAAUGCAACUGUAGCGCAUGGUCGGUGCCUAAUUUCAUACGAAGGACGAUGUCCCAUUUGCAUGCACGUUGCAUGCAAAUGGACGGUGCCUAAUCAUCGUGUCCUUGCAUGCAGGUGCAUGCAAAUGGUCGGUGGCAUGUCCUGCAUGCAUGCAUGAGAUAUAUAUUCGUGUAGGUGCACUGCUAUGUUUUCUCGCAUGUAAGCUUGCUGGUACUUGCCAUUAUUUGUGCGCGAAAAAUAUAAAUGGUGCCUAGUUGUACGUUGCGACUUGCUAUCUUUUUUACAGCAAAAGAGGCGCGGGAAAAGGCAAGAGGUGGGGCCCGCAUGCCGCGGUGCGCGAGCGAGCGAGUGCGCUCGGCGAGGGGGCCGGGCGUGAGUGCGCUGCGGCGCUGAUGGUGGUGGGGUCGGCGCACGCGCCGUUGCCGGGUAUCGGGCAGACCAAGCGAGCAAGAGGGAUAAGUAGCGGACAUAUGAUGCUCAUGCCAUGCGGUGCAGGUUAUAUUUAAAGAUGGAUAAUUAGAAUGGAUGGAAAAAGAAUUAGAUGGAGAUACUAUAGAGCUCAAAUGAUUUAUAGUUUCUGAAAUAUAUUUUGAAAAUAAUUUUUUUAAGGCGAGUGAUUUUUGAAUGUGAAUUUUUGGGAUGUUACAUUUGGCUUAUGACAUACUCCCUCCAUUUUUUAAGUGUCAUAUGUAGUUUGUCCUAAGUCAAACAUAUAUAUCUUUGACUAUUGAUUUUAAAAAAAUUAUAUAUUUUCAUAUAAUAAGAUUUAUAUUUUUAGAUUUAUUAUGAGAAAUGCUAUCGUAAUAUAUAAUUCACUAGUAAAAAUGCCCGUGCGUUGCAACGGGAGCGAAACUUAUGAUUUCUAAUUAGAUUUUAUAUUUUGGCUAGAUGUGGAGCUAAAACAUUAUUGGUAUAUUUUUUUACCAAAGCCUAGCAUCAUCAGUCUUGAUCACGUCAACGCUCUUUCAUGUUCCUCUCUCAAUUCUUAUUCCUUCUUAGCCUUGUAACGCUUUCACGUGACCAACAAUAUAUAAUCUCUCUUAUGGUCUCUAUUUAUUUUUACAUGAAAAUUAAGAUCGGCCUAAUUCAUGAUAAUAUACUUAUAAUUUAAACAUUGCAUAAUUUAAAAUGACAGGUAAUUUUUUUAUAGAAAAAUGAGAGCUAAUUGAAAAAUGUAUAAAAACAAAAGCCUAUUUGGUCUAGCUAAAGACAGACAAAAUAGUUAGAAACGUAACCUGGAUAUAGGCUGGGAAAGCCCGUUUGGGUCUUCCAAACCUGUUCGCCUACCUGAGCCGUAAGCUCCCUCGGCCGCUGAUCCACAUUAGAUGGAGAAGCUUCUUCCGUUCAUGAACAAAACUGUUGAGAAGUUGAUUUAAGCCCUAGGGUUUAUUUGGUAGGGCUCUAGUUCUGGCUAAAACAGCUUCAAUUGUAUAUUUUUAUCAUAGAGCAGCUUUUUAUGGCUUCAGUUUGUCUCAUUAGUAAAAUGUUUAGCAAAACAACUUCUCCUAUCUCAUCAAAAUGAUUAAAUGUAUGUAUUGCUCUUUUUUUCUCUUUUACCUUUUGUUUUUUCAUCCUUAAUUAUCCAAACAACCGACAAAAAAUUAAUUGUGAUAAAAUAAUAUGAUUUAUUUUUCUCUAGAAUGGCAAAUACCAUUAACAUUUUAACAAUAAUACCACACGGUGCAACAUGGUCAGGUCAUGGGAAUUUUCCAGUUCCUUGCCAUGACUUUCUUGUUUGGAUCUCAUGUGGUCAUAAAGUCUCGAACUGUCCCAUAAAUAAAAAUACAUCUAGGAUUUAAAAAGUUUCCCAUAAUAUGUGUCAUAUAGGUCUUAUAGGCUACUGUGGACACAACGCAUUGCUAGUUCGUGUGGGUCCGAGAACGAAAAAAAAAACAACGGAGCCUCCUAGAAGCGCCUGUGAUUCAUCCUAUUUUCCCAAAAAAAUUUACGAAAUUUUUCAGAUUCCUCAUCACAUCAAAUCUUGCGGCACAUGCAUAGAGCAUUAAAUAUAGAUAAAAAAUUAACUAAUUAUACAAUUCACAUGUAAUUUACGAAACAAAUCUUUUGAGCCUAGUUAGUCCAUGUUAGACAAUAUUUAUCAAAUAAAAACGAAAAUACUACGGUGCCCAUUUUGCAAAUUUUGUUGCAACUAAACAAGACCUUGUUUGUGUGCGGGGCAAAAAAAAAACAAAAAAAGGAACUUAGGCCUUGUUUAGUUGCAAAAAAUUUGAAGAUUCUCAGUCACAUCGAAUCUUGCGGCAUAUGCAUGGAGAAUUAAAUUUAGAUAAAAACAAAAACUAAUUACACAGUUUGCCUGUAAAUCGCGAGAUGAAUCUUUUGACCUAAUUAGUCUAUAUGAUUAUACAAUAUUUGCUACAAAGAAACAAAAGUGCUACAGUACCCAAAAUCUAAAAUUUUUGCCAACGAAACAAGGCCUUAGUUCCCAAAAAAAUUGCAAAAUUUUUCAGUCUCUCUAUCACAUUGAAUUUCGCAGCUCGUGCAUGGAGCAUUAAAUAUAGGUAAAAAAAUAACUAAUUACACAGUUUAUAUGAAAUUUGCGAGACGAAUUUUUUGAGGCUAUGAUUGAAUAAUAUUUAUCAAAUAUAAACAAAAGUGGUACGUUCACAUUUUGCAAAUUUUUUUGUAAAUAAACAAGGCCUCAUAGAAAAAGACAAAAAAAAAUCAACGGAGCCACCUCCCACCUGCAUCCAUCAAGAAGCGCCCGUGACCAGUCCUGCACUCAUGCGGUCCACUCGUUUGCAUCCGCAUCUCCUCCGCCGCACCAUCCACUCGUUCAUCUUCCCUUCCCCACCCAGCUCACAUCCCGUACAGCAGGAGAGCUCGAUCCUUCUGCUUCCUAAUAACCAGAGCAGUUCCCCUAUGUGUGCAUGGCGAGAGGGACUGGGAUCCAUCGCCGUAGCCGUCGGAUGCCUCAUGCUGGCAAGAUGUGUGCUAUUAGGGGCGCUGUAAUGGAGCCCCAUGGCGACUUGGCGAGGGUGUACUCAAGGCCGAGGGCCACGGAAUCCGCAAGCGUAACCGUGGUGGAAGCCUCGGCCAAGUAAUCAAGGCAGGUAGCGCCGACUCUGACGUCCACAAGCCAAGCAACGCCGAUUCACUUAGGGAGGACUGGAUCUAUGUGUGCACAGAGGAAGCCUCCACCUGGUGCUGCGCCUAGAGGGGGCAAGCCGGCCUCCUCGUUGUCGCACCCAGCCAUGCCCCGCCCCUAGCACUCGCACUUGUCUGCAUCCUUCCCGCGCCGCCGCCGCACCUCCUCCAUCCACGUCGAGGACUCCAUCGCUAAGGUGGAGGUGGGUGUAGAUUUGAUUUUCCCAAUUACUUUAUUUGGGCAUCCGAUUGUUGGAUUCCCGUGUUGAGAACGAUUUAGACUUCGGCAGGUCUGUGGACUUCAAACAGACGGACGUUAUUCCGAGCGACAGAAGAUCGGCGUGACCGAUGUGAGCGGCAGAAAAAAAAUUUGGCAGACUGAAAUUUUCACAAUUUAGUAGUAGGGAUAGAUAUAUUGUGAAACUAUAAUUUUUUUAAAACAUGGUUGGUUAAAUAUUGUAAAGUUUGACUUAGGACAAACUAAAUGUGACACCUAUAAAAAACCAGAGGGAGUACAUAGAAUUAAUUCUAUUUCAAGACAGAUGUAUUAGUAUAAUAAAUAAGAGAUUAUGACAAACUGCUUACAACCACCUGUAUAGUCCACUGAAGUUGAUUUCACAUAUGACGUCCAACAAUAUAUUCCACCGCUAGCUCCUCUCCAUGCAAGUGGACUAAGAUUUCUUCCUAGGAAUUGAAGGAAUAUAAAAAAAAAACACUACUAUCAAGCCGCACUAUGCUAUCCCAUUAAUCAAUGGAGGAACUAAGUCGCACUACGGAAGCCGAUAGUCCCACAUAUCGCCCUCAUGCCGGCCUCAGAAAAAAAAAAGAAGAACGAUAAGAUUUAAGAGAGGGACACACAAUGAGAGAGACAUCAUUAACCACACCGGGUCGAGAUGUGGACGUCACCAAAUCAACAAGUCGAUCAACAUGAAUACGAGGGCUCUUCAAACCAUGGACAACGGCAUACGCGAUAGGUCGUAUUUACAUCUAGAAAACACGCUGUUUUAGUGUUAAUUUUAUUACAAGCAAGACCAGCGUAUGGUGUUUUGUACAAGUCUGAAACGUCCCUUGUCGGUUAGUUUUCUUUGCCGAAUUCUUUAAAUUAAAACCGGCCACUUGGCGGUAGCCAUUAGGCCAGUCUCAAUGCAUAGUUUUAUGGUACAGUUACCAAGACUAUAAACUAGGUAACCGAGCCAUAUAAGUUUUAUAGGGAUGAAACUUCUCUCUCAUGUGAUAAAACUCCUUCAUUUAAUGACUAUGCCAAGUCAAUAAUUUUGCUUAUGUGGCAUCCUAUUUAAUGUACAUGACACUUUCAUAAAACAUGCAUUGAGACUAGCCUUAGGGAUAUCAACCCGUGACAAUGGUUGUUGCGCUGUUUUCGAAAUGCCUUGCGCCUCGCGUCUCGAGUUUUUUGGACUUGUUUGGCUAUGCUUUUGUCGCGUCUGACGAGACGCACGGGGCCCACAGGAGCUUCCUAGGAAGCUUCGCUGCUUGGACCGUUUUGCCCUUGGGAUUUGGGGCUAGGGUUGCUACUGCGAGUAUACAUGGCCAUGUGGGCCCGUGACCUGAUGACCCGGGGAUUUGGUCCAGCCCGAGCACGUAUGACACUGUGGCCACCGGGCCUGGGCCGGCCCAUCCCGAGAGACCAGGCCGUGUCUGAGCCGUCACCCAAGCACACGGCAUGGCACGAGCAUGGCCCGUUUCAACGGUUGGUCCGAUAGCAUCUCAGGUGUAGUUAUAACUUGUAUAUAUGUUAUGUUAAUUAUUAUAUUGGUGAAAAUGAAUGAUAAAAAUUUGAGCAUUUGGUGAAAAAUAUUGAUAAAAAUGAGCUGUUGUCGGUUUGAUGGGCCAUGGGCCACACGGCACGAAAACCGGCUCGUGGGCCGAAGGCUAGGUAUGAAGCCUGUAGAGGCAUGGCCCGCUAGACACGACGGCAUGUAGCGGCUCGGCAAUCUGUAGCACGGCAUGACACGGCAUGACAUUGGGCUAGCCCGCCACGGCCCGUUGGACAUCUCUAACUGCGAGUGGCCUAUCGGGAUAUGGUGUACUCCCUCCGUCCCAAAAAAAAUGUCGUUUUGGGUUUUUGUGCCACAACUUUGACUCAAUUUGUAGAAAAUGUGUAUAAUAUUUAUAUCUCUAAAUAAAUUUAUUAAAAAAACUAGACUUAAAGAUCUUUUCAAUGAUACUAAUUAUGUACAAUAAAUAUUAAUAUUUUUUACUAUAUAUUUAGUUAAAGUUAUUUUUCGAGAAGCGUAAACGACACUUUUUUUGAGACGGAGGGAGAACUAUCCAUCUGGCUUCAGCGCGCUGCAAGCUGCACGGGUGCACGGCCCGGUUGAUAUAGAUCUUGAGCAGUGCAAAGCUGUUUGGUUGAGAGUGGCGAAAUAAGGGGUGGCCUUGGCACGGUGUUGAAUUUUGAUCGUUCUCUAGAGAUGAACGGGGAAGGCCCGGCAAGGUAAGUAAGCUCUGUUUGAUAUAUAUGGUGGAUGAUAUGAUGAGGUUAGAAAUGCCUUGGUACGUGCGUUAAUUGAUUCCUACACGUGCAUGUUACACGAGCGAGGAACAUGCAUGCAUAGAGGUAGAGCACUCACUUGGGGUACGAUUUCAACUGUUUCCAAGAUAACUGCCGUUGCGUACCCCCAGUGCCAACGCGUGAGAUCAAAUCACGGUGCUCCGCUCGCGCUAAGGCCGGCAGGUGCCGAAUGCCAAAUCUCCUCGUCGCUGUCGCCGUCGCCGUCGCCGUCGCCGUCGCCGCGCUUGCCUCCUCGUCGUCAUCAGAGGGUGCUCCGAUCCGGUAAUUUCGCGAGCAUAUACCCACUUCCGGGCUUUGGAAAUCGGCUCGCGCUUUCCUCGUACCUUCCUCCGCCGUCGCCGUCGCCGCGGAUCGUCUUCGGCCCCGGCCAGUAUAUAUAACCAAAAACUAAGUCCACCCACCCGGAGAUUAAUUAGUACAACUUUCGCCGCAACAGCGCGCACACACACACAGCAACCAAGCACCAGAGCGGCCGCUACCGCACGCACCGCCACCGCCGCCGAUCGAGGUAGGAGAGAGAGCACCUGAGCCUCCACUGUCGCGGCAAGCAGCAGAAGAGGAGGAGGACGACGAAGCGGGGGCAGGGAGGGGGCCGGGAGGAACAUCCAGGAGCGCGCGAGUAGUGAAGGACGACGACGAUGCUUCCGGGCGUGGGGCUCACGCGGCUCUCGCGGCGGCGGCGCGUGCACUACCACGGCGGCGACGUGGCGUCGUCGGCGGGCGCGGGGGAGCACCACGCCCACCACCACCACCACCACUACGACGCGCACGCCCACCACGCGGCGCCGCCCACGGGCGUGGCGGGGCCCGCGCUCGCGGCGCGCAUCCGGCUCGAGGAGAAGCUGCGCGGCGCCGCGCUGCCGUCCACGUCGCCGGGGUCCAGGUCGGUUGCCUCUCUCCCUCCCUCCGGCCAUCUGCUUCCUCCCAUGUUUUGCAUGCACGAGCACGACUCCGUUGGGAAGAUGACUGAGCGAUGAUCCAAAGAUCAAAUGAUUGCACGCGAAGACACAGUUCUGUCAGUGUUCCCCUGUUUCACCUGACAAAAAUCAGCUAAACCACAGGCCGGCCGUGUGUCAUUACGAUUCAUUCACCAAUCACCAUGCUCUCUUAGCAGAUGCAUUGGGCUCCAUACCAAAAGGCUGAAAAAUUUCGUGACAGAAAAUAAUAUUUAUUUAUUUAUUUAUUGUGAAAGAUAAACAGAAUUGAAUGACAAUUAGAUUCAACCGGUAAUCACGUGGACGAUGCAUGGAAUCUUGCAUGUGCUGUGUGGCCUGGCCUUUUUCGCUCACGAAAAGGAAAGCUGGGUCAAAAGAAAAAGGCAAGGCGGAGAGUAUCUUGCCAUGUGAUGACUGAUGAGAAUGAAAAAAAAAACACUUUGGAUCUGUUUCGACUUUCGAUCACAAGCAUCGCAAACACUUUGGUAAAAAUUUCGCCGCGUCAGGAAUAGCAAAGCAUAUCCCCCCCUAGGCCUGCCGGCUUUGGAAACCGCCUCGCGCUUUCCUCCUACCUUCCUUCCUUCCCGUUCCAGUCCAGCACGCCGCGCCGCUCCACGUCGUCGUCGCCGCGGAUCGUCUUCCACCUCUCCCUCUCUCUCCACCCGCACCUUUCCCCGCCAGUAUAUAUAACCAACCCAAGCUCAGGUCACCCCAGAGAUUAGAAAAUUUCGCCGCAACAACACACACACCAGAGCCGGCCGCUAAUAUACCGCACGCGGCGGCGCACCGCGAGCGCCAACACCGAGGUAGGUAGAAGGGGGGGGGGGGGGGGGGCACGAGAGGGGUGGAGCCGAGCGAGUCGGCCAGCCAAGGACCUCCACCGUCGCUGCCCGCAAGCAGCAGAAGAGGAGGGAGAAGAGCCAGCCAGCCCAGGACCGAGGUAGCCAAGGACGAUGCUUCCGGGCGUGGAGCUCGCGCGGCGGCGGCGCGUGCACUACCACCGCGACGUGGCGCCGUCGUCGUCGUCGUCGGCGGCGGCGGUGGGCGCUGGGGAGCACCACUACUACGCGCACGCCCACCACGCGGCGACCACCACGGGCGUCGUGCCGGGGCCCGCGCUCGCGGCGCGCAUCCGGCUCGAGGAGAAGCUGCGUGGCGCCGCGCUGCCGCCGUCGACCUCGACCUCGACCUCGCCGUCCAGGUCGGUUGCCUACUUGCCUCUCCCUCCCUGACUCCCUCCCUCUGCUUCCUGCCCCUGCGUUUGCUUCCGUUGGGAAGAAAGAAGACGAGUGACUGAUGAGCGAUGAUGAUCCAAAGAUCAAAACGAUUGAUUGGACAGCACAGCAGCAAAAGAUUCAAGAUCGCCGGCCCGUUUUGGUCAGUUCCCUGUUUUUCACAGAAAACAAAAAUCAGCUAUAAACCAGAUCGUGUGUCAUAAUAAUUCCAUGAUAUGCUUGGCGGAGAGAGGGCAUUGGGCUGACAGUGACAUCCCUUGUGUUGUGGGCCACGCGGUUUCUUGAUCUUGAAUCUAAAUCCGGAGAGUCGGCUUCCCUUCUCUGUUUGAUUGCUGUCUCAACUCUGAAUUAUUGCGUGAUCCAUCCCAAUUUCCCAUGAUACAAAAAUUCUAGAUGCUGUAUUAUUAUUAUGCUACUAGUAAUUGCAAUUGCAUCUGGCAAGUCGACGAUGGAAUCUUUUCAUGCGCAGUGUGGUCUGCCUUUUUUCCGCUCCUAAUGAAAGAGAAAAGCUGACACAACAACAACAACAACAAAAAAAAAACAGAGAGUAUGUUGCCAUGUGAUGAGAAAAACACUUUGGAUCUGUUUCGAGUAACAAGGAAAAUUGGUUAGAUGAUUCAGCACCCCCCAAGGCCAAGUCAGAGUACGAAAACGUCAGCAAGAACCAACCGUCGUUGACUGGAAACUGCCUGCUGCUCGGACAUCCAUUUCCAUAUUUUUCCCCCUUCUGUUUUCUUCAAAAACGCGUUCGGCAUGAGUCGUGAUCUUGGAAAUCCGUAACAAACAUCAGAGAAUUACCAAACCUCACGCUUGUUGUCUUUUUGAAUUUGAGUUGUGUGUGUGAUUGUGCCCUAAUUAACAACCAGCGCCUGAAUCAAAACGCAUGCAGGUGGAGCAGGCUGAUGCGCGACGGCAGAUCGACCCCGAGGCAGCCUCAGAGUCAGAGUCAGAGCACCAGGCGGCGAGACGACCAGCUGGACGCCGUCCCGGCGACCAGCGCCGAGCCGGAGCCCAGGCGGGCGGUGGCGCGUCCCGGCCCAGCGGCCGUGCUGCAGGCAGCGGCGGAUACGGCGGCGUCGACGACGACGCGGCAGCGGCGGCGGCGGGCGGAGCUGACGCGGACGCUGUCCAAGGUGGACGUGUGCGCGGUGUGCCUGGACGAGGUCCGGGACCGGGAGGACCGGCGGGUGACGCGGCUGCCGUGCUCCCACAAGUACCACUCCGAGUGCGUCCUCCCGUGGCUCGCCAUCCACCCGGACUGCCCCUGCUGCCGCGCGCUCGUGCCGUCCGCCGACACGCUCGUCCACCAACUCUAAGCUGUUGUUGUUGGCGGUGGCCUGUCGCUGCUGCUGCUGCCCCCCUCGCGGUCGUCGCGGCUGGUGCCGCCGUGCCGAUCCACAUCCACGCCAUGGGUCUCUCGUCGAUCUGUUGUUUUCCGCUUGUUUUUCACGAAUGUGUUUGUUUGUAGUAUGUGUUUGGUACUGGUACUAGUAGGCCGCAGCUAGCUGCAAACCUGCUUGUAGCAUAGACAAGAGUUUUUUUUUUUUUUUGUUAAUAGAUGGCUUGGUAGCUAGUAGCUAGUAGCAUAGAGCAUAGGGACUGUGUAGACGAGCUCUAGACAUCUGGCGCUGUGUUGUGUUUUGUACUAUUCAAAUCAGGAAAUCCAUGUGAAUUGCACGAGCUGUGGUAAGUGAUAUGGUUGAAAUUUUGCAUACGCGGAAAAAGGUUUCACGAUUUUCUUGGAGGAUUUGCUAAAUUUUAGGUGUCCGAAAAUUUUUAGGCGAUAGUUAUUGCAUAAAUUUUAUAAAAAAAAUUAUAGUUUUAGUUCGUUUCAAUUUCUGUACAAGCAAUCUGUAAUUUUUUUCGGUUUCGAGAAUGAAAGAUCAGUUAGACAACAAAACCACAAGCCUAACAAAAUCUAAUAUAUGUUGGUAUAAAGAUAAUUUAAAAAUUGAUAAUUAUUUUCUAUUGUUAGACAGACAAAAAUUUAAUAUGUUAUAACACAAUGACAAAUAAAAAAUUGCAAAAGUAAUAAUUUACUUGCAUUAAUAUAGUAUAUUGCCUAAAAUCAUCUUAAAGUUUCAGACACCUGAAAUAUAGGAGAAGUGUUUUUUUUACGGUUCAGAUGUCAUUCCUCCUCCUGUAGGCUGUGUGCUGUUCCAUGAUUUGUUACGCCUCAACUACUAACAAAUGCCGUCCUCCUGGAGUGAUAUUUGUGUGUUUUCUUGUCCACUUCUUUUUCCCUGAUUGGCGUGCAAAUGACAGUUUUGACAAGUCGUCUAGGGGAAAAAAUUGAAAGAACUAGAGGCCACAUAAAAACCUAAAGAUGUACUAGUGUUAAACAAACACACACAAAUUUUUUUACUAUCAAACUAUGGAAUUAUACAAUUUUUUUGUGCAGACACGUGCUAUGUAUCAAGACAUAACUUAUAAUUUGAAAUUUGUCUAAAAAAAUUUAUAAUUUGUAAUAGAGGGAAUUUUAUUUGGGCACACGUGCCAUGUAUCAAGACAUGACUUAUAAUCUGAAAUUUGUCUUGAAAAACUUAGAAUUUAAAAUGAAAGGUACUCUUUUUUUUCUAAUUUCGAAAUCAAAGCUACUAGUAGUCACUACUCCCGUGUCUGCUUUUAUUGAAAGCAUCAUGCAUAAAUACUUACAAUAUUACUAUAAUCAGAAAUAUGCGUGUGGCCAUGUCGUAGCGGACGACGUGGCCACGGCGACGGCACCGGGC